AAAUUUCGUAUACCGAAGUUUUCUCAUUUUGAUUAGUUUGUUGCUGUUACUACAAAAACAAAAAUCUACGUAGCCGAAGAGAAAAAAAAAUCGCGUACAGAAGUGUUCCUAUUGUAUUUAGUUUGCUUAUAUAGUACCAAAAAAAAGUUAUACAAGUUAAAAAAAAUAAAGUGAAAACUUGUUCUAUUGUAAUUCAGUCCCGAUCCAUCUUCUAUUCUACUAUCCCUAAUCAUAUACACUGUAGUGGGCCAAAUUUGCCCGGCCCAAACAAAUAAAAAAAACCCAAAACAAAAUAUAAGAUAAAUCAAUAAAUAAAUAAAUUUAAAACCCAAGUUUUAUAACAGUCUAAUUAUAUGGCCAAUAAUAAGCCCAGUUACAUAACCAAUGACCCAAUAACUAAUGCCCUACAGCCCAAUAUCAAUUACUAGCCUGUUAGGCCCAGUAUUCUGGGAAAGGAAACCCUAGAGCUUCCUCAUCACUUCCGCGCCGCAACCACAGACGAGCCCCAGCCCCAGAGCCAUACACUCGUACUUCCACGUCAACAGCCCUCGUACACCCACGCCAAGCGCCAACACGACCCCCGUACACGCGCCUUACUCCGUACCUGCGAACAAGACAAACGCAACAGCAACAUAGAGCAGAAAAAAAACAAAGAACAAAUGUGUAAUUCUUUUUAUUUCUUCUUUUUCGGCUAUAAAGCCAGGAUCUGUAAUCAUUGUAAAGGUUACGAAUACAAAGCAAAAAAAACAGACGUAAUAUACAGAAGCAAUACAAAAAAAGGUGAUUUUCAAGUCUGUCUAUCCAUUCGUCUUCCUUCUCGUUGCCUUAUGAUUUUAGCAUAAAGAAAGAAACGUUUGGAACGACACCGAUGAAAUCCUGAAUAUCUUAGAAAAAUUGAGAUAUGGAUGAGGGUCGGAUGAUAUUAAGUUUUUUAUUCGAUUUCAUCGUCCUUUUUAGAACGGUAUUAGAUCUAGAUUUUUAAGAAAAGAGAAAGAAAAAAUAGGGUAGCAUACCUGGUCCUUUGCGUGGUACCGCCGUUUGGAGGGAUCUGGUCAUUGCUCGCACGUCGCUGGCCACCGAUUGAAAUGGUGGAUCGGCGGUUGUGGGAGGAACCCUAACAGAUCUUUUUUGGGGGGCUGCAAAUAAGGGGUAAAGUGUUGGCUACGUUUGGUGAGAAAGGAAAAGUGAAGGAAGGGUUUAUACUAAUCUACCAUGGAAAACGGCGCCGUUUGGGUCAUUUAGGGUCCGCGCGUCAACUCGAAUUGUGACCCGAAUCCGCGCCUUUUCAUGCAGAAUGGGAAAUUCUCCCGCUAAGCCCUCCAUGUUCACGCGGGUCUUCGAUUGAGCCUUAUGCGCCUCGCCUUUUUUUUAAUUGGGACUUGUAAUUUGCACAGGGUUGCAAACUGAUCCGCGCACAAACACUGUGUUUUGAGAGUUGGGCUAUUUCCAGUCUCAGUCCUGGUGCAUUAGCGCACUUCGCGCUUUAGUCCUCUUGUUCAUUAUUUUAUUUAUAAAUUAGCCCACCCAUUUUAAUUUCAUUUUAAUUAGAUUUCUUUGACUUGUAUAGCUCAUUUCCUUUUUCAAUCCUUUAUAUUUUUUAUGUAUACAUGCGCAUGCACACAUCUUAGAUUUUCAUAAUGAUUUCCUUUCUAUCGUAGUACUUUACAAUAUUUUUUUAAUAGAUAUUUCAUAAAAAAAAUACUUUGUACAUAUGAGUAUUUUUUUUUAGUCUAUCAUGUACAUAUAUAUUUUGUAUUAAAGUUAAUUUUAUUUCACAUAUUUCAUACAUUAUUAACUUUAUAUUAUUUAUACACAUAGUUCCUUCCAAAUUUAUUCUUUCAUUUUGUAACGUAGUCUUACAAUAUAUCUUUAAAAUUAUUAUUAUACGUAUAUAUGCUUAUUGAUACCUACAUUUGAUCUACAUAUAUUAUUAAAUUUAUGUAUUUUAUAUAAUUUUCCUUGUAUAUAUAUAAGCACUAUCUUUAAGAUAUCAUAUAAUUUAUCAUAGGAUUAACUUAACUUUGUAUGUAUUUCUAUGUUUUACACAAAUUUUUUUUACUUAUGUAUAUGUAUAGUAAAUCUAUCAUGUGUCUAAAAUUAUAUUUCUAUACAUUUUUACAAUCCUUUCAUAUUUUUGUUCGCAAUUUUAAAAUCUUUUAUAUAUAUAUUGUCAUUUUCAAACCAAUAUGUUUACUGUUUGGCAUAUUGUUAGAUCAAGAUAUUCAUUUCACUUCAUAUAUUUUAAUAAACAAGUAUAUAUAUCUCUAAUUUUCUUAAUCCAUUCAUUCAUGUAUCAUAUACUAUGUGUUUAUUAUUAUUUUAAAUUAGUUCCAUACAACACUCUCUUUAUUCUUAUCUUAUUUCGUAUAUCAUGCAUUGAUCAUACCUAUUGCUUUUUCGGUUCGCAUUUUGUUUUGCGCCUUUAAUGAUUUUACCAUGCCAUGUUUGUUGUCAUUGUAUUUUAUUUAUCCAUUAUUGUCGUGAUUAAUUAUUCUCCAUGCAUGAUUGAAGUUGAGCUAUAUUUCUAAUUUAAUUAUAUUUGAUUGCUUGUUCUGCUAGUUGAUUAAUAUCCUCAUUCGUUAAGCAUUGUAUCUCGUAUGUGCAUAUUACCCCAUUCAUCGUUUUCCAUUUGAUUUUAAAAAUGUGGUUUUAUAAAAUGCAAAUCUUUAUAAUUAAUUUCAUCUUAUUUCAAACCGAGUUAAUACAUCUUAAGCUAACUUUAUGAUCAUUCAUUCAAAAAUUCUUCAAAACAAAGACGAGAUUCGAUGUUUAGAAAUUCGAGGAAUCGUGCCCUUACGUGUUGGGUUACAAUUUCACGUUUGCUCAAAAUAAUUGAAUAUCACUUCAAAAUUUUAUUCAUGUCUUUUAAAAUUCUUCCAAACGAAGAAGACAUUCGAUAUUUAGUAAUUCGCAGAAUCGUGCCCUAACGUGUUGGGUUGCAAUUUCGCGUUUGCCCAAAAUAAUCGAGUGUUCCUUCAAGAUUUCAUUCAUAUCUUCUAAAAAUUAUUUAAAACGAAAGCAAUAUUUGGCUUUUGACAAUUCGGGAAUCAUGCCCUAUCGUGUUGGGUUGUGAUUCUCGUUCGCUCAAAACAACCAAAUAUUCCUUCAGGUUUUCACUCAUGUUUAUAAAAAAAAACUUUCAAAACAAAGGAUGUUCGAUGUUUGGCGAUUUGAGAAUCGUGCCCUAUCGUGCUGGGCUGCGAUUUUUUAUUUGUUCUAAACAAUCGAAGAUCCCUUCGAAGUUUCAUUCACGUUUUCUAAAAACCCUUUAAAACGAAAGAAGUGUUCGAUGUCUGGCAGUUUGGGGAAUAGUGCCCUAUCGUGCUGGGUUGCAAUCUCCUGUCUGUCCAAAAUAAUCGGAUACCUCUCUGAAAUUUCACUCGUAUUUUCUAAAGUGAGGCAAUGAUCAAUGUUUGGGAAUUCGAAGAAUCGUGCCCUACUGUGCUGGGUUUCGAUCUUUCGUUGGACUAGAUAGUUGAACAUCCUUUCGAGAUUUUCAAAUUAUAAAUUUUCGAACGCUGAAACAAGAAGAUUUUUGGCAAUCAACUUGGGUUAUUCAACCGUUAUAAAAAAGAACCACAUUUCAAAAACUUCUUAAUUUUAGACAUAAGGACAAUAUUUAAUCGAUUCAAUACCAAUUUUGGGCGUAGUGAGGGUGCUAAUCCUUCCUCAUGUGUAACCGACUCCCGAACCAGUUUUCUCAAAAGUUCGUAGACCAAAAUCAUUGUUUUAAUAAACCAAAAAUGUUUUAUUAAACUAACCUCAUUUUUAGGUGAUCUGAUCACACCAAAACAAAAGAUCGGUGGCGACUCCAUGUUUUGUUUUCCAAAAAGUCUACCUCCAUCGUUUCUAAAAAAGGGGUUUCAACAUAUACGCCACACUUUUAACCCAAUUCCCUACUCUUUCAGCCUACCUUAAACCGAAUACAUCAAUCACUUGUUACCCUUUUGAGCCGACCACCUAGACCAAGGACUAAGCCUUACCAAAUCUGCUACGAAAUCACGAGAAAAGUUACGAGAGGUAAAAGGCACGAGAGUUGUGAGCGCAAUAGAGCGGAGGUAAAAGCCUAUCCUCGAGCGUAAACACGAGUGUGAGUGAAUCAUCUUUCUUUUCCUUUCUGAGUGAUUGUGAGGUUUUGUGGUGAGGUUUAUUUGACUAUAGUUUAAAUGUCACAAGAUUCAGAUCACAAUAUGGAAGACCGUCCAGAAAGACAACCCUUUCGCAACAUCCCCGACUUAAAUAUGCAAGCCUUAUUACGAGAAAUGGAGCGACUCCUAGAUCGAAGGCUCAACCCAAUCAAAGAUCAAUUAUUCCAAGUUGUAACAAAUUGGCCAACGUGAAAGAACUCCCGAGGCGACUAGAUAAAGGCGGGAGAGGCCAAAUCAAAAUCGGGGAAGACGAAAGUUCCAAGACGAUGAAGCAAACGAACUUAGUGAUCUUGAAAACGAACAAGAGUCUAAUACUAGUGAUCGACGUAGGCAACACCGACAACGAGAUCGAAGACGCGAAGAUGAUGAUCUUAAGAACAUUAAACUGUCUAUUCCACCGUUUCAAGGUAGAUCAAAUCCGGAAGCCUAUCUUGAAUGGGAGAAAAAGAUAGAGUUGGUGUUCGAACGUCACAACAAUUCUAAGAAAAAGAAGGUGAAACUAGCAACGAUAGAGUUCUUAGACUACGCCAUGAUUUGGUGGGAUCAAUUAACUACUAACCGAAAGCGUAAGGGAGAACGUCCUAUUUCCACAUGGGCCGAAAUGAAGACGACCAUGAGGCGACGCUUUAUUCCCACAUAUUACCACCAGGAGUUACACCAAAAACUCUAAAAUCUAACGCAAUGGACCAAAAGUGUCGAGGACUAUUUUAAAGAGAUGAAAAUUACAAUGAUUCGCGCGGACGUGUAAGAAGACCCUGAAGCAACAAUUGCGCGAUUCUUGGCUGGUUUAAAUCGCGAUAUUGAAAAUGUUGUUGAAUUACAACACUACCUUGAAAUGGUUGACAUGGUCCAUAUGGCCAUCAAGGUAGAAAAGCAACUCAAACGAAAGGGACCGAGUCAAGGAUUUACCACUUCCAACACUCUCAAAUAGGGCCAAGAAACGAGUAAAGGUGUUUCCAAUUCCCGAGGAAAGGAGUUCACGGCUCCUCCGAAAACCAAUAAGUAUACCACCGAAGUGAACAAAGGCAAGGCACCCGAAUCAUCCUUCAAUUGAAAUCGGGACAUCAAGUGCUUUAAGUGCCUUGGGAGGGGCCACAUAGCAAGUCAAUGUCCUAACCGAAGGACCAUGGUGUUGAAGGCUGAUGGUAAGAUCGAAACGGAGGACGAAAAAAAGAAAGAGUCUGAAUCGACUUCUGAAGUCAAGGAGGCCUUAGAACAACCUAUAAAAGGAGAACUACUAGUGGUAAAGCGAAGUCUAAGUCUCCAAGGUGCAGACAAUGAUCUCCAACGAGAGAACAUCUUCCACACCCGAUGUCAAGUCAGAGGUAAAGUAUGUGGUGUCAUCAUCGAUGGAGGCAGUUGCACCAACGUAGCAAGUAUGAUGAUGGUUGAAAAGCUUGGCCUGCCCACAACUAAGCAUCCGAGUCCUUACAAACUUCAAUGGCUCAAUGACGGAGGAGAGCUUAAGGUAACGAAGUAAGUACUUGUCUCUUUCAACAUCGGCAAGUAUUCGGAUGAAGUUCUUUGUAACGUCGUACCGAUGCAUGCGGGGCAUUUGUUACUUGGCCGACCGUGGCAAUUUGAUAGGUAAGUUUAACACGACGACUAUACCAACCAGUAUACAUUUAAAUUUAUGGGAAAGAAUGUGACGUUGGUGCCGUUGACUCCCAAACAAGUGUAUGAAGACCAAAUCAAGCUAAAAGCUUCUGUCGAGCAAAUGAGAGAAAAAGAAAAAGAAAGUUGUAAAAAAAUAAAAGAAGAGAAAAAUAAGAAAAAGAAAACAAAAGAGAGCGACAAGAAAAAUAUCCAAGAAAAAGGAAGAAAAAGAAAAGAAAAUCGAGAAAAUGAGUGUUUUUGCAAGAGUUAGUGAUGUGAGGAAGGCAUUGGUGAUGAAUCGAACUGUUCUUGUACUUUUGUACAAGGAAGCAUUAAUUUCUACUAAUGAUUUACCAGAUACCCUACCCCUCCUAUUUUGUCUUUGUUGCAGGAUUUCAAGACGUUUUUCUAGAAGAAGCCUCGAGUGGUCUUCCACCACUUUAUGGAAUCGAGCAUCAAAUUGAUUUCGUGCCGAGAGCGGUUAUUCCAAAUCGACCUGCUUACAGAGCCAAUCCGGAGGAGACUAAAGAGUUGCAAAGACAAGUCAAUGAACUGAUGGAAAAAGGCUACAUUCGCGAGAGCCUAAGUCCCUGUGCUGUUCCCGUAUUAUUGGUACCGAAAAAGUACGGAACAUGGCGCAUGUGCGUGGAUUGUCGAGCCGUUAACAAGAUAACGAUCAAAUAUCGUCAUCCUAUUCCUCGCUUAGAUGACAUGUUAGAUGAGCUUAGUGGGGCCAAAGUGUUCUCAAAAAUCAAUUUGAAGAGUGGCUACCACCAAAUUCGGAUACAAGAAGGAGACGAAUAGAAAACGGCAUUCAAGACCAAGCAUAGACUAUACGAAUGGUUGGUUAUGCCUUUUGGCCUUACCAACGCUCCAAGUACGUUCAUUAGACUAAUGAACCAUGUCUUAAGGCCUUUCAUCGGUAAGUUUUGUGUGGUAUAUUUCGACGAUAUAUUGAUUUACAGCAAAUCUAUGGAAGAACAUGUAAGUCAUCUCAAAUAUAUUUUAGAAGUUUUGCGAAAAGAGACCUUAUAUGCUAAUUUAAAGAAAUGUUCUUUUUGUUCUAACAAAACUAUUUUUCUAGGAUUUGUAGUUAGUGCGGAUGGUCUUGAGGUAGACCAAGAGAAGAUUAAGGCCAUACAAGAUUGGCCAAGGCCUACGAGCAUUACGCAAGUUCGGAGUUUCCAUGGCCUAGCAAGUUUCUACCGACGAUUCGUUUCCAAUUUUAGCACUAUUGGUGCUCCACUUACGAGUGUUAUUAAGAAAAAUUCUUCUUUUAUUUGGAACGAUGAACAAGAGAAAUCAUUUAUAAAAAUCAAAGAUUGUCUCACUAACGCUCCUUUGCUUGCCCUUCCAAAUUUCUCGAAGACUUUUGAGAUCGAGUACGAUGCUUCGGGCAUUGGAAUCGGGGCCGUGUUGACACAAGACGGACGUCCUGUGGCUUACUUUAGUGAAAAACUCAAUGGAGCCGUACUCAACUAUCCGGUGUAUGAUAAAGAGAUGUACGCGCUCAUACGAGCCCUUGAAACAUGGUAACAUUACUUGUGGCCUAAGGAAUUCGUUAUCCACUCCGAUCACGAAGCCUUGAAGUACAUCAAAGGCCAACAUAAGUUGAACCGACGCCACGCAAAGUGGGUUGAAUACCUUGAGUCGUUUCCGUAUGUCAUCAAAUAUAAGAAAGGUAAAGAUAAUAUCGUGGCUGAUGCGCUCUCAAGAAGUUAUACUUUGUUAUCAUAUUUGGAUUCUAAGAUUCUUGGUUUUGCAUUAUUAAAAGAUUCCUAUGUAAACGAUUCCGAUUUUGGAGAGAUAUUUGUUUCUUGUGAGAAAGGUCCUUUUGAAAAUUUUCAUAGGUACGAGGGCUAUCUUUUCCGAGAAGGUAAAUUAUGUGUUCCUUGUGGAUCUGUUCGAGACCUAUUAAUGCAUAAGGCACAUAUUGGCGGGCUUAUGGGACACUUCGGAGUCAAUAAGACGCUUGCCACUCUCCAUGAAUAUUUUUACUGGCCGCGGAUGUGAAAAGACGUGAAGCGAGUUUGCGAAAGGUGUAUAGCCUGUAAAAAGGCUAAAUCAAAGGUUCAACCCCAUGGCUUGUACACACCAUUGCCCAUUCCUGAAGCACCAUGGAUUGACAUCUCCAUGGACUUUGUUCUCGGACUUCCGCGCACAAAAACGGGGAAGGAUUCUAUUUUUGUUGUUGUUGAUAGAUUUUAAAAAAUGUCUCAUUUUAUUGCCUGUACUAAGACUGACGAUGCCAUUCAUGUUGCGAACCUAUUUUUCAGGGAUAUCGUUAGACUACAUGGCAUUCUUCGUACGAUCGUGUCGGACCGAGAUGCAAAAUUUUUAAGUCACUUUUGAAGGUCUUUGUGGGGUAAAUUAGGGACCAAACUUCUGUUUUUGACCACCUGCCACCCCCAAACCGAUGGUCAAACGGAAUUUGUCAAUAUAGUUCUAUCUACUUUGCUUCGGGCCAUCAUUCGGAAGAAUUUGAAGACGUGGGAGGAUUGUCUACCUCAUAUUGAGUUUGCGUAUAAUCGUUCUGUCCAUUCAGCGACUAAAUUCUCCCCAUUUGAAAUUGUUUACGGUUUUAAUCCCUUGACUCCUUUAGAUUUAUUGCCUUUACCUACUAAUCAGUUUGUCCAUGCAGAUGCGAAGAAAAAAGCGGAUUUUGUCAAGGAUUUACAUAGCAAGGUGCGGGCCAAUAUCGAGGCUAGGACUGAGUUCUAUGUGCGUAAUGUGAACAAAGGCCGAAAACGAGUAGUUUUUAAACCCGGAGAAUGGGUUUGGAUUCAUAUGCGCAAGGAGUGUUUUUCGGCCCAACGGAAAUCUAAACUACUGCCUCGCGGAGACGGUCCUUUUCAAGUUUUAGAGCGAAUAAAUGAAAAUUCUUAUAAAAUUGAUUUGCCCGGAGAUUAUAAUGUCAGCGCUACUUUUAAUGUGUCAGAUUUAACCCCUUUUAAUGCAGAUUUCGACUUGAGGACAAGUCGUUUUGAAAGGGGGAAUGAUGCGAUCGCGCCCCAUGGUUCAUCUAGUUCGAGCAAGGAUUCUAUGGUGCUACCACAAGGUCUUGUCACUCGAGCUCGAGCCAAGAAGUUUGAGUCUAUCACAGCUUUUAUAGCUCAAAUUUGGAAUGAAACGAUAUUAGGACACUCCGAGAAAGCUGAUUCCAGCUCCUUGAACUCACCAUGCAACUACCUGCAAGUCCAGCUCAGCUCAUCGAGCUCACCACCAGCUCAAGCAAUUUCCCAUUCAACUCAAAACCAGCUCAUUAGCUUGGAAUCAGCUCACUUCUAGUUCCCCAGCUCAGGUCCAGCUCACUACCAGCUCAUGAGUCCAAGCCCAGCUCAGUUUUAGUUCAUGAGUUGAAUUCUAGCUCAUGAAGACUACUCUGACUUCAUUUGACUGCUAUUAAAUUUUUAUUUAAUAAGUUCAUUAAUUAGUUAAUUAAUAAACCAUAUAUUAAAUUUAGUUCACAUUAGUUUUAUUAAAUAUGUCUUAAAAGUGUUUAUUGAUGUUAAUUAAUUUGUCAUAACCGAAUUUAAUGUUUACAUUUGUGUUCACAUUAGCUUGAAUUAAUUCUGUUCACAUUUUCUUGUAGCAACCCAAUGGACAUAUGAAGCAUGAAACAGCAUCUCUUUUUGGAGGUGCAUAGACGGUUAAGAGCUUUGAAUCUCCUAGGUGCAUGUUCGGCUAAGUGCAUGUAUGGCCACAUUCAAUGUGUUCAAGGUUCAUGAAUGUUUCCAUUCAUGUAUGGUGUGCUACUUCUUCAUUUUCCAAGUGACUAUUCGGCUAAAAUGAGGCUUCCCAUUACUUCCUACAUGUGGCCGAACAUCUCCCUUCAUGAACCUUAAAAUUCCGUUCACAUUACGUUCACAUGGCAUGGCCUUCCAAUUCAAAGUGUUCACACCUAUGGACUCUUCAAGAAUUGGCAUUCACACUUAAUUUGGCUUAUGAAGUCUCCUCAAUUAAUUCCUAACUUUUCACCAAAUAACAUGAAUUGAUUGCCUCAAUUAUUCAAGUUGGCCGAACCUAGCUAAUGUCCAAGGGAGUCUCUCAUUCAUGAUUCAUUUCCUUAAGCAUGAAGAACCUUCAAGACAUCUCCACCAUAGCUGAAUCUGGUCAUGAACAUCAAAGGACUUCUUUCUAGAAUUUUCAAGAUGCAUUCAUGAGACUUUUACUUAAUUAUUAAGUAUGUAAAGUGUCCAUUCGGUUAGCUAGUCUUUAGGCUAUAAAUACUUAUUAUUUUUCUUUGAAAAAAACUUUUGGACUUUGUUAAUGUUAUGCUGCCAAAAUUGUGAGGCAAAACUUUUCUCAAAUUUUGUUCAAAGAUUCGAUUGGCUUCCUAGCGUGCUAGUUAUAUCAACCGUUGCCCUUUGUCGAAACUGAACUUAUCACUACUCGUAGUGUGGCGUUCAAACAUACCGAGGUUCCUAUCUUGUUAGAUAGUGGGUCGAGGUUUUCCUUUACCAUACCCAAACCGAACUAAAACAGCCUAUAAACAACGGGUCGAUACUAAAUCAGUAUUAGUUCUUGUUUGCACUUUUUGUUCAACCCCAUUUCUCCAUUUACCAAAUUGUACCUAAACCGGCCAUUCCAUUCGUACCAUUUCAUAAUACCAUUUCGUUCUUAGCCUUCAUACUAUUACGCUCAUUUCUUCAAUUUCCCUUACCUAAUUGAACCAAUUCAUUCAUUUAUACCUAUUCGGACCCUAAAUCUGAACUUUCAAUUCUUCUUACCUAUUCCAAUUCGAACCAAAACCAAUAUCCUUCUUUCUCUUAUCCAACCUUUCAAUUAAACCUAGCGUAACUUCUUGUCGACGAUCGGGCACACUAAUACUACUCGACUCUUCCGAGGCGGAUCGUAUCAGUAAGCCUCAUUGUAAGAUUUCAAAAGAAGGGCUCCAUUUGCAAACACAUCACAAUCAUUCUAGUAUGUGCGUUAAGAGCAUUAUAGAAAGUCUCCAAUUGGAUGCAGUAUGGAAUACCAUCAAUAUCCAUUGAUAUUGUGUCAAUCACGUAUUGUUUCAAUUAAUAACCAUUUUCUCAUAUCAAUUUACUAAUUUAAUUACUUACCAACAUAAUGUAUAUGUGUCAGGAAGUAUGAUUGUGAUAGUACUUGACUUAGCACAACUACCAAAUGCACGGAACAUCUCUAUCAAAACUUUAUUGAAUAUAAACUAAAUUUGCAUAACCAUUCUAGCAUCAACAAGAUUAAGUCAUAGUAAUUAAAGAGAAAACACAAAAACAAUAAGCAAUCAUGUUUUUAACGCAAGAAAGAAGUAACAAAUAAAAGAAAGAAGUAACAAUAAGUAAUCAUGUUUUCACGAUUCUCUUCCUCUUUUCUCCCUUUGUUUUGCUCUUAGCAAUGCUUUCUUAAGCUAUUUCCAACACUCUCUUGUUUCUUACUCGUGGAAAUUGUGUCCCACUGCUCAAUGGAUGAAUGCAACAUUGCUAUUUUUAGCUUUGAUUCCCUUGAUUUCCUCCAUGUAGGUAGUGUCCGUAUGCACUUCUCAAUAGCCGAUAAGUUUGUUCGUUAAAUCAAGUGAUGUGUUUGGGAUGUUGAAGACCGUAUCUUUUAGUUUUGUUUUUUUUCUUCGUUCCUUUCCAUGUGCAUACGAUUUGGGCUCUAAUUGGGUCACAAAAAUUGUCAAGCUCUUCCGACAUUAGGUUAGACGUGAAAUGAGGCCCAAAUAAAGCUUCAGUGGGCGUCUAUGCAUAUAGAUUCUUAAGGCCCAAACUGUUGGACUAAUGCUACAACAAUUGCUGUGGCAUUGAGCCUUUAUCUGUCAACUUUUAUUAUUUCUAUCCACUGUCUUCAUUAAACACCUAAUAGAUGAAAAAUGUGAGUUUAGCAUAGCAAUUGGUAAAAAUAGCAAAUUUCAUAAGACUAUUUUAGUAAAACAGAAUUAUAGGUGAAACUAUAGAAAUUGAUUAGAAAUCACUAGGAAUUUUCAUUAAAUAUGAGCUUAAAAGUAUUGAAAAUAACUCUAUAUUUUAGAAUUAUCACAAUCAUCGAACAAAAUUUAAGUUUUAUUGUUUACUAUUCAUUUGAAUAAUAUUAAAAAGAUUUAAAAUAUAUAUAUUACUAUUUAUGUAUUUUGAUAAUAAAAUUUAAAUAUAAAUUUAUAUUAUUAAAUAUAAAAAUGAAUGUGGCUCAAAUUCAUGAAAUAUUUGCGACAAAUAUUUUAGCUUCAGAAACCAAUUAUACAUUCACAAGAAACCAGUAGGUAUUGAUGAUGGAACUUUCAUAGUUCAUACCAAUAUAGUUUGGUUUUUUUUUUUAUUUUAAUCCAAAUUCAACAAUAAAUAAUUUUCCAUUAACACAAACAAAAUUGAGUUUAGCUAUCCAUAUUCUAAAAUUCAAUUCAGUUGUCAAAAACCGACUUUGCUGACUCACAACUAAUUGACUUUCAUUUCUUCAUCCAUUUUCUAUAUAUAUUCACUAUUACCAACGGAUUGCCCAAUCUCAAAAUCUGUCUUUCCAUUUACUCCUUAAAAAGGGCAAUUUAAUGGAGUUUCUUCAGAAAUCAGUUCCCGGUACCUUGAAGAGAUACUGGAGAAGGCGGCGAUACCAAAGACUCCACGGCGGCGAAGUGAUCAAGAAAAAGAACGUAAAAGUCACGAGGAUCGGAGCGAGGUCGCGAAGGUUUUGGAAGAUCAAAGCGAUACCGAAGCUGCGAUGGAGGCCGAUAAAGCUUUUGACGAAGCUCAAAAACGGUUACAUGAAUAUGAUGAUAAGAUUAGCAGGGACUGUGGGGCAUUUGACUGCUGAGAAUCAAUUCGGAGGGAAACGGAUUCCCAAAGCACGAAAGGUUGCUUUGGGUUAUUCGAGCUAUGAAUUUGAUCAAAGGUUGGUUUAUGAGAUUUACAAGAAUUUAAGUGCUACCCAUGAGCUAUAUGGAUAAAGGAACUUGACGGGUAGGGAUGAAUCUUAGAAGAUGAUUUUGUAAAUUUGAUUCAGUUCAGUUCAUUUUUUUCAAAGUCCGUUAGCUAGCAAAGGAGCAGCUUCAAGGACAACUCGACAACUGUAGAGCCUCCUGCAAGUCUGAGGCCAUUGCUUGGCAAAGGUGUAAUUAGAUUGUAUAAUCAGCUCUUAUGUACCAAAAACAUAUAUAUAUCAACCAAUGAUUACACAAAAAGCAAGUAAAUUACCUCAACCAUGUUUCAACUUAAACUAAUUCAUUCAAACUUAAUUCAACAUCCAAUCUUAAAAUUUUCAAAUCCUCAACCUUAAUAGCCAAUUAUUAAUAUUUUUUAUUUAAAUUUACUUAUAUAGAAAUAAAUUGAUAAUAUUGAAUCAUCGGAUCAUCUAUAACCAAUGCUAAAAAGUCAAUCUAAAGAUCGGUUCCAUCCACUCUCUAAUUUUCAAUUGGUUGAAUUAGUAUUAUUUUAUUUUUUCUUUAAUGUUUAAAUGCUUUAAACACUAGUUUUAAUGUAAACAAAAGUAUACAAAUAGUUAAUAGUUUUUUUUUUUUAAAAGCAUUGAUCUUCAAUGUUAUUCUUUUUAGUAAACCAUUAAAAUAGUUAUUUUUAUUAUUUUUCAGAUUACAUUUUAGUCACUUAUGUUAUCGCGUUAUAACAUCUUAGUCAUUGAGCCAUUAAUUGUCAUUAACGAUGUAGCACGUUAAAUCAUCAUUUCAAAACGAAAAUUUUAGGUUAAAUUCUAUAAUUGAUCCCUAUAUUUUUUUUCAUUUUGGGCAAUUUAAAUAUUAGGAAAACAAGAGAGAAUGGAAAAUAAAGAGAAAAAAAAUGAAAGUUAAAAAAACAUAAACGAAAAAAAUUAAAUUGGAGAAUGGCUAGUCUUGGCUAUCGAAGCAGUUGACUCCACGGGUAGAGACAUAGAUGUAUUCAUUGGUAGAACAAUACAUUUGACUGGAUUCCACGAAGCAGUUGACGUUCAUGGUGCAAUUUACCUAAAUCCUGAGUUAGUGACUAACCAUGCGUAUGCAAUUCAUGUGUUUUGAUAUAAAAAUUUUAAAUUUUAAAAUUAUUUUUAUUUAAAAUUUUCAAAAAUUAUUUUUAAAAAAUAAAAAUGAUUAAAAUAUGAAAAUUAUGUUUUUAAUAUUUUUUUUAAAAAUUUUAAAAAUUAAUUAAAUGCUAACUUAUAAUCCAUAUGAUAAUCCACACGUAUGCUAUGUCAGCAAAAGUUAACAACAUCCAUUUUAAAAGUGGUUUGACAAAAAAAAAAUUACAAAUUAAAAAAUUAAAAAAAAAAGCGAAAAUUAAAUAAAAUACUAAAAUAAUUUUUACUGAGUGAAAAGAAUAAUUUUACAUGUAUUUCAAUGUGUAUAGUAACACAAUCAACAUGCAUUUCAAUAACUAUUACCGCUAAUCUUCCAAUCAGCCAAUUUAACAUGGAAUCCAAGAAACAAACCACCAUUUCAAACAUAAAAAUUAACUAAGCAAAUUUUACAUUAGCCAUAUGUUGAAGCUCAAUUCCGAAAAUGGAGAAUGCAACGAUGUCCAUGCUACAUCAUCUUCGACCAAAGAGAAAAAAAUCCGUACCAAAUGGUAUUCCAUCUAAUAAGAGUAGUUGGUCACACUUUUACUCUGUUUUUUUUUUUUUAUGAAUGAGAAGUUUAAAAGUCCAUCGUGCAUCAUAUAUUUAUGUAUAAAGAUGAGAUUUUUCAUAGUUAGAUUUUCUCAAAAUAUUAUUCACACCCAAUCUUCUUAAACUUGAACUAGUUGAUGAUGUAAAUUGGACUUACUCACCAAAAGUGAGAAUUUUUCACACUCAAUUCUAAACUUUAAAAUAAAAGUAACUCAUAUUUCAAAUCUAUUACUUCAAUAAUCUUUCAAAUCUAUACUAACCAAGUAAAGCUACCGGAAGGAGUUGAAUAAGUAGAAAUUUUAUUUUUAAGCAUUCACUCUAAAAAACGAUUUUCUCCACUUUUAUUAAUCAGUUCUCAAGAAUAGAAGAUGCAUAUAGGGGAGGCUGGCAGGAGCACUUACCUCCCCUAAAAUAGAAAAUUAUCUAAUUAGGCCUUUAAAAAAUUUUAAAAUUUUAAAAUUUUAAAUUAGUAUAUAUUUUAAAAUUUAAUUCUUUAAAAAUUAUAAAGUUAUAUUAUAGACUAUUAAAAAUAUAAAAAAUAAUAAUUUAAUUUCGACCUCUAAAAAUAUUUUCUAAUUUCACCACUAAUCAAUAACAUAAACAGAAUAAGAAGGAUGUUUGCAACUAAUGUUGCCCAUUACUGGAAACAAUACUUACAGCAGAAUCAACAACAACAAUAAGAUAAACAUUCAUUCCAGGAAUAAAAUAUGUGCAUAUUUUAUUAGUUUAAAAAAAAUGUCAAAAAAUAUCGUAAUUAUCUUCAUCUAUUUUUCUUCUCUCUAUUUGGAGGAAUAAUAUAUUUUAUAUUUCUAAUAUUUUAAGGUGCACUUUGUAAGUGAUACACCUAUUUUUUUAAGAGGAAUAGCAUGCUCUUCCAGAAACAUAAUAGUAAGUUGAUCUUUUUUUUUUUAGGGAAACACUAUUUUUUUUCAGUUAAAUUUGGAAUAAAUUGGAUUCAAAUUAAAAUUCAAAGCUUAAAAGUAGUAUGUAAAUAUAAAAUUAAAAUUAUUUUUUGGAAUAAUAAAUUAAGUUACGUGGACCAAGCAUGGGCUAGAUGUUUCAAAAAUAUCCAGGCUGCAAUUUGGCCCAAUCAAUAAGCUCUUCUAGGCUUGGCUAUAUACCAGUACAACUAGGAAUUCAGCAUUAAAGGUUGAAAGUAGAAAAGAAUUGUUUAAAAACAACUUAAAUUGAAUUCUUUACAAUUCAAACCAGUUAAAAAAUUAUUUUAAGGGUUAAAAAUAAAUAAUUAAUUUAUAAGAGAUCAAAUUAUAAUUUUACCAUUACAUUAAUUUAUGAUUUGAUAAAAUUUAAAAGGUUUUUAUAAUAAAUUUACCAUUUUAGGAGAGUCAAGUCUUCAUGACUUUAUUUUUACUCUAUAAAAUGAAUUUAUUCGAAGGAAUACCUUUAUAGAAUAUCUGUAUGAGGAAUAUAUUAAAUCCAAUCAAUUAUAAAUCAUACAAAUUUAUAUUUCAACAAAAUUAUCCAAAAUUCAUUAAAAAAUAGAAAAAGUAAAAAGAUUAUUAAAAAAAUCUUAGUAUGGAAUAAUAUUAAAAACUUUGGAUCGAUACGUACAUAUGAAUACAAAAAUAAAACAAUAAUUAUACCAAUAUUUUCUUUCUCAAAUUUAUUACAUGCCAAAGAGAUAGACUAGUGGUUCUACUACCAUUUUUUUUUUCUUUUUGUCAAGUUCAUUUUUUUGAGUAAAUAGCAUAUAGUAUUAUUAACAUUUAAAUAUGAAUCUUUUAAGAAUUUUGUAUAUAAAAAUCUAAAAAUAUUGAAUAGACCUGCACUAGAUACAUCAUACAUACUCUACUCAACACCUACAAUAGAAUGAAUCCAAAUAACAUAAAUCGUAGAUGGUGCAGAUUAUAUUUAAUCUAGAAAACAGCAUUUUCACUUCCAUUACCUUGUUAUUCAUGACUCCGGCUUACAUUUCAACAACUUACUUGCUAAGCCAAAUGCCCAAUCACCAAACCUGCAAAAUAAGCCCAAUGCAUCUAAUUAAAACCUUGAAUUUGCUUUUCUUUUUCCAGUUCAGAACCGAUACGUUCUGGGAUUUUCAUUGCAAAUUAUAUUGCUCUAACUCUUCUAAUUUUCUUAAACCAACCAUGUCUGACACCCAUAUCCAGUGCAUAUUCGGACAUGAUUAUCACGCUAUAAUCAUUCCAAAGUCUCCAAAUGAAUCAAAAUCAUGGAAAAACAAUUAACAUACCCAUGCUGGAUGCAUACAUAUUUCCGAGACACGCAUCGAGUCCAAGUUACAUAGGUUGCAAAUGUAGGUCAACUAUUAAGAGGGAUAUAUACACAAAUUGGCAAAAUGCACAGGCUAUAUUGCACCUAAUACUCAUCUUGGCCAUUUAAUCCGCCCCAUACUUGACCCAGAGUCCAAAUAACAUAGAACGGCAUACCAAGAAACAUUCUUAAGAGAAUGGCUUGGUCAACCAUUUCAGGAUGAUAAUCAAGGCAUAUAUAAAGGCAAAGAUGGAAUUAAAGUAAAACACUGCACAAAUAACUAAAAGGUAAGGUUUACCUUGUAAAGAGACUGCCAUGGGAUCUUCGUAGCUUAGAGUACCAUGCUUUAUCAUAAGCCGUGAUUUUAAUACAGGGAACAUGUGCUAUGUAAGGCCAACCCUCUCCUUCCCCUUCCUUGCACCACUUUUCCAAAUGUGGGCAUCCCCGAAUGUCUAGGUUCUUGAGUGUUGUGAGACUCUUUAGUCCCUGAGGCAAUGACAUCAAAUGAAUACAAUAUUCGAAAUUCAACUCACAAAGGGAGGUGAGAUGUUCUAUCUGGUUUGGAACAGAAGUAAAUCCGUCACACCGACUAAUUGUCAAUUUUUGAAGACCAUUAAGAUGCUGGAUUUCUGUCGGUAAGGAAUUCAACAUCGGACAAUCCCAAAUGCACAAUUCCUCAAGAUGUGUCAAAUGCAUGACCCUAUCAGAUAAAGAGGUAAAUCUAUCGCACUGAAAAAUCUUCAGGACACGAAGUGAAGUUAAGCCAUUUACAUUACCAGGAAACGAAACAAGAGUGUCACACCCACUCAAAACCAGACUCUCUAAAGCAUUGAGGUUUUGAAGUGCUUCAGGAAUGUCUUUAAGCUUGUGGCAGCUGAAGAUUUUCAAGUGUUUAAGCACAGAUAGAUUAUCAAGAUGAUUCGACAGAGACCUGAGGUCAGGUAACGACUCUAUAUUCAACUCCUCAAGGUGUGUUUGAUUUUGCAACAAACCACUGGGAAAAUUUGUCAAGCCAGAAAGGUCAUGGAUCUUAAGUGAACCAAGAUCAGGAUGAAAUAAGACGCUCUCCCUUUCACAAAUUCGAAGCUUUUUGAGGGUUGGAAACUUUGGCAAUUCAAUCAACUCAGGGCAUUUCCUGAAAACCAAGAUUUGCAGACGAGGAAAAUUCCCCCUUCCCUCAACUGUUUUCCACGUCUCCAAAACAGGCAUCGAGUCAAAAAAGAGUUCCUCCAAUGAUGAGAACGGAUUGAUCCCAUUUCCAUAGAAUUCACUGCUAAUGCAUUUCACAGCAUCCAUUCCCUUUAUUUUAAGAACCAUGAGCAACGGCAGUUCCCCUAGAGGUGGAAGGUGUGAACAUCUUUUACACUGGUCAAGCUCAACUAACACCAGAUUCGGUAAAUCAAUCAACCAACUGGGAAGCCUUAAACCUUGAUAACAGCUUAUCCGAAUAUACUCCAGAUUAUAAUGAGGUUGGAGACUGCUAAGAACCUCUUCUUCAUUAUCUGGAAAUUCCCCUGCUUGUUUUCCCCAGAUUAAACUCAAUGAUCGGAGAUUUUGCUUCCUUAUCAAGUUGGCACUCUUGGCUUCAGUUGAACCUGUCACAUUAUCGAGUUCCUUUAGAGACAACUCCUUCCCAAGGUCUAACUCUUUAAGUUCGCCAAUUCCAUAACCAUGGUCCUUCCUUACUAUAAAUAUACUCAGUUCUACCAAUUGAGUUAGGUGCCCAAUACCAGGUGGAGUUUGCUCAAGAGAAUCACAACGUGAGAUAUCAACACACUUUAGGCUUCUCAUAUGUUGCAUUCCUUGGGGUAGCUCACAAAGAUAGCGACAGCUGGACAGUUUCAUAAUCUGCAAGUUUAGGAGGCAAUUGGCAGACUGGGGCAAUCUUUUGAUGCGAGAGUAAGACAAGUUUAGAUACGUCAAGUGCACCAAGUUACAAAAAGAAUUCGGAAUUCUCCGGAUGCAUAUACUCCCGUGAUCACGUAAAUUUAAAUAUCUAAGGUGUACCAUCUUUCCUAGCGACUUCGGUAUUUGAUACAUAUCGCAGUCCAGUGCUCUCACAUGUUUCAAAGGAGGACAAUUGGCUUCAGUCAGACCAAUGCCACCAAGAAUGAGGGACCGCACUGACGAACAGCUUUUGAGGAGAUUAUAUUGUUUGUCCGAAUGAAUCCUUUCGUAACUGGAAGGAGGCAUUGGUUGAAUGGGAAUAUGUAAGUGCCUAAUCUGUUUUGGAGACCCAAACGACUGGUUGUUGUCAUACAUAUAACAUUCGAACCUCAUUAUCGAAAUUGCAAGGUCAUGAACGAGAUCAUGCAUUUUACAGGUCACAGUGCCAUCAUGAUAUUCAGUAACAUCUUGAAAGAAGGACCUCCAAGUUAACUCGAGGAAUAUCUCAUCUCCAAUUUCACGCAACUCCCUACGUCCUCUAGAAGGAACAAAUCCAUUUGCCAUCCAUAACUCUAUCAACUGAGAUUUAUCCAUUUCACAAUCUUUCGGGAAUAUCGAACAAUACGCAAAGCACUGCCUUAAAUAUGAUGGUAGAUUGUCAUAACUUAAUCUCAAGGCAGGUAAAAUGCCGCUCCCGUCAUCCGGUAACUCCCAGAUCUCACUUUCUUUAACAGAUAGCCAGUCACUUUCUCUACGCUUUAACCGCAACAUGCUUCCAAGAGCUUUUACAGCCAAAGGAACCCCUCCACACUUCAGAACAAUUUGCUUUCCAAUUCUUUCCAAUCUCGAGUAUCCCUCCUCGCUUUCCAUCAGAAAAGAACGCUGCUUGAAUAGUAACCAAGAAUUCUCAUCCGAUAAAUAGUCCAAAUGGUAUAUGGGAAGAGUAGCCAUGAUGAGAGCAACUUUCUCGAUCCGGGUUGUAACUAUGACCACGCUGCCUUUUGCUCCAACCUUCAAUGAAUUCCUAAAACCAUCCCACUUUUCAUAGUUUUCAUUCCAAACAUCAUCUAAUACGAGAAGAAAUCGCUUCCCCCUCAGCUUUUCUUGCAAGUAUCGUUGCAGAGGGUCGAGCUCCUUGAUAUCACAAGGACUACCAUCAAUGGACUCAAUAACUGCUUUUAUCAACCUUCUGACUUCGAAAGCAUCGGAUACACAUACCCAAAUCCUCAAACCAAAACCCCUUUCAACCCUUUCAUCAUUGAACACCAGUUGAGCAAGAGUAGUCUUUCCAAGUCCACCCAUACCACAAAUGGCAUAAAUGGACAAAUCAUUUUGAUCCAACGAACUACCGAACAACCCGUUGAUUACGUUCUCUUUAUCCUCAUUUCUUCCCAAUAUUUCAGAUUCAUUGACCAGCGAGCUAGUUAAUCGCCAUUCCCUAUCAUCAAUUUCUAAAUCCCCAACUUUUUCAGUCAAAUGGAAUUUGUUUUUCUCCUCUGCUACAGCAUCUAACCGCUGCCUAAUUUGCUUAAGUUCAUGAGCCUUCUUGAAAGUAAACACAGUGGAAUUUUUAAAGGAAAAGAAAUCACUUACUUUGCUGCUCAUGUUUUCUCGAGCUUUCCAUAGGAAAGCUUUUGCAGCAAACUCGUCGAGUAAAUCAUCAGCAUCAUAAGCGAUAUCCUUGAGUUUUCUGAGCCAAUUCCUGACGGCCUCACUCCUCCAUUGUUUCUGCUCUGCGUCUUGAAGCACGGCUUGAAUCGUACUUAAAGUGCUCCCGAGAUCUUGAAGGUCGGUUUCCAAAUUACUUGCGAUUUCAAAUUCACGAAGAGCUAGAGAAUUGAGGUUCCCUAAGAUGGUACUCACAAGGGAAGAAACAAAAACAUCUGCCAUGGACACCCCGGAGAACUCAAAAGAUUCAAAUGAAACUUAAGAGAGAAUAAAAGAAGAACGAUUUGAGGGAAGCAAUGGAGCUUAGAAACAAAAGUAAUGAAGUAAAAGCUGCAGAGAAUUAGGAGAGAAAUGCAAAGAAGAAAUGACUGGGGAAAAAAUGGAAUUGAUUCGUACAUGGAAUUGGAAGUCUGGUUGACUGCUGACUGAGUUGACUCAGGACAUGAUUAAGGAGUAAUCGGAAAUUUACGUGAUAUUUCUGCCUGACCUUUUUUUUUUUGUAAAGAAAUUUAAUUGAGAUAAAUAUGAAUUGACGUUGUUUAGUACGAGCAGAGUUGGAUGCCCCUAUUUAUCUGAAUUUUAUCAUCAACCAAAGGAGGAGUAAAAUGGAAUAUUUUUAUGAAAAUGGAAAAGCCUUUCAUCAGAUCAACUAAAGAGUCAGCAAGAGAAUGUCUUUCUAGGUAUUUGCUUAAAUAGCAUUCUUCACUUAUGUUUGUACAAUUAUUGGAUUUGCACAAUUAAAUCCAUGUUUGCAUGUUCUCUAUUAAUAUCUUUGAUAUUUAGACCACAAUCAGUCUCAAUAACAACAUUCACCCAAUUGGCUUUUCAAGCUACUUAGAGUCUAUCGUAAAUAGCCCAAAGCUUAGCUUGUAGCACACUAUAUCUCCCAAUGUUCCUUCCUAUUUCCCACAUCCAUCCACCAUACUCAUCAUGUGCCACUGCUGCAGGUUGCAAGCACCACAUGUAUUCAGUUUAAAGAAACCAAUGGAUGGUGGUGCCCAUCGAAGCACAUUACUUUCUCCUAAUUUGACCAAUCUCUGCUUGAAUAAGUUCACUUACUACCACGAAGAAAGGAUUACAUUACCUAUGUCAAAAGAAUAAUCUUAGAACAUGCAAAGAUCAAAUUGUCUUGACAUUGUUAAAAAAUAAGAGAUGCUGAAUUUCAACCAUUCAAUUUUUUAUUUUUUUUUUGAAAUUUCAGGUUGUUGAGAUUUUCUGCAAAAUUUGGGAAGAUAAAGAAUGGUUAUACAUAAUAAGAAUAUAAUUGCCAAAAGAAUGAAAGUGGGUAGAAUAUGAUUAGGUAACUUCAACACACUUGCUGCUUGUAUUGAAUUCCCGCGUUUCGAGAAUGCCCCAUCUUAUGGUGUACAAAACAAACAGAAUUUUGAAAAUGAGUGUAAUAAUUGUUUAUAUAGGAGCUUUUAAUGAUUCUCCAUAUAUUACCAUUCUAGCGAAUCGUGUAGUCAAUAAAAGAUUAUCUAAUUUAAAUUAAAGGUGUUUAAUGGGUUGAUAUUGGUAAUAAAAUAGGAAGAUUUGAACUAUGAUUUACACAAAUUACAAAAAAAGAUGCAGUGACAAAAUUAAAGAAGAUUUCUCCAACAAUGCUAGAAAAUAUGAUUUUUAUUAUGCUCAUUUUUGCAUCCAACUUAUUUAUAUGAUCAGGAAUAAGUUUACUUACAAACAUUUAUAACAUUACAAAAAAGCAUAUUUUUUUAAAUAAAAAAAAAAGUAGUAGUUUACUGCUUUGUAAAAUUAUUAUUAUUUCAAAUAUGUUUCCUAAUUAUCAAAAUAAUUAUUAAUUAAAAUACACCAUAAAUUGAAUCCCUAGAGACCGUGAAAUAUAAUAGUUUUAAGGUAUAUAAUACAGGCAUUACAUUGAAUAUUUAACCACUCCAUGAAAUUAAUUUAUUUUAUUAUUAUAUUUACAAUAUAAUUGUUUUUCUUAUUUGCCAAAUGCCCCAUAUUAGACUAUAUGAUAUGACAUCACUGAAUUUAUCUCCGCAUUUACUCCAAAUUCAUCAUAAAUCCAAUAUUCAUUUUCUUUACUAUUCCAUUUUCAAAUAUUGUGAUUUCAACCAAAAGAUCAAAAAUAGAGGUUUUAUUAGUAGGACUAUAUAUGAUGACAUCAACACUGGGCUCUGAUCAGGCCUAAAAUUAAAGAAAAUUGCGCAUUUCAACCAAGAGUUCAUAGUCGAACCAAAUUGAGUUCAUAUCAAGUCUAUGUAUGACAUCCACAAUGGGUUGAGAUGCUCACAAUAGGUUAGGAUAGGGUCUAACAUGAAAAAAAAAACGAAAAAAGAGUGAAUUUCAACCAAAAGGUCAAAGUAGAGAUGCUCAUAAUCAUUAAGUUGGGUUCAAAUCAGGUCUAUAUAUAUAAAUAUCAACUGUGAGAACAUUUACUACUAAGAAAUAUUUUAUCAAUGUCAUAUACAACACAGUGCACACUGCAUUUGACUACAAAAGUCAAAAGACAUGAUCCCUUUCUGUUCUAUCACAAGUGAGCACAAAUCCGAUUAUUCAUUGACAUAGAAAGACCAGCUCGGUAAGUGGUGGAAAAAGAAAUUUAACGAAACAAAACCGAAACUCCCUCAAUUCUUGUGCUGCAUUCUCCCACUUUCUGCACCGGCAAAGGGAUCGAUUAUCACAUUUAUCACAACCGGCUUCCUUGCAGAGAAGGAUUCAGAAAGGGCAGAUUUUAAUUCGUCAGGUGUCCCGACAAGGUAACCCUUUCCCCCAAAAGCUUCGAUUAAAGUAUGGUAAGCAGCACCAGGAACAAAGGAAGUGGGCGCAGGGUCAUCUUUGAAAGGGCCACUUACUUCUUCAGGGCUCCUUCGGUCACCACCGUAAACACCACCGUUGUUAAAGACUAUCACAACAACAGGCAACUUGUAUCGAACCAAUGUCUGCAUUAUAAGAACAGCAUAUUUAAAAGAUAAACAAAUACAUAAAGCACUUCAAUAAGCAAAAGGCAUUUGUAAGUCAAACAACAUAAAGAGCGUUUAUAAUUUGGACGAUUUUUAAUGCACCUCUAAAAUUUAAAAUAAGAACAUAGAAAACAUGACACAUCGAACAAAAUACAAAAGAGAAAUGCUCUUCAUUAAGUUAUUAUUGAACACCCAGCUUUCAGCAGACUACUUUUCUACUAAUCCAUCAUGAUACUCACCAGGACAUAAACAUAAAUAUGCAUGCAUACACAUACUUAAGACACAUAAGUACAUACUUAUGUGAUUCUGGGUGUGGGUGGGUAUGUGUGAGAGACAGAGAGAAAGAAAUACGGGACUCAUAUACAAGAAACUGUGAUACAAUCCACUAAUGAUUUCCGAAUCCUGAGAAAAGUUCCCAUAUUCAGUUCAACAUUAUAUUAAAGAUGCUAAUCAAAAUUUUCUUUCACAAUUCGGCUAACUUGAUCAACAAGGAAUUUUUGCCAACAAAAUGAAACAAAGAUAAGUUAUUAUAGCCCCUAAGAAACACCAUCAUCUCUACCUUAGGCAGCAUUAGAUUUAGUUUCGUCAAUAGAAACAAGAAAAUUAGUUCAAUAUUCCAGUUAUCAGUUCAAGCCAAUUUAGAUUGAUAAACAACAGGAAGUGUAAUAUCAAACCUCCUGCUGAAACUAAAAGAAGUAACUACAAAUAAAUCAUAUCAUCCUAAAUCAUCAAAAUAGCAUUCACAUUCUAUUUCUUCAUGAGUAAGAGCAUUAAACAUAACAGACUUCAGAAUUAAGAUAACAAAUUUAAUUAUGCAAGUGACGCUUUAACAGUAAAUAUUAGAAAAUAUACCUCAACCUCCAUAGCACUGAACCCGAAUCCCGAGUCCCCUUCGACUGCAACCACAAGCCGUUCUGGAUUAGCCACAGCAGCGGCAAUGCAAUAACCUAAACCAACUCCCAUUGUCCCCCAAGUCCCUGCAUCCAACCUAGUCCUAGGCUCGGUCUGAACCAGCACAGACCUUCCAACAUCCAUAGUAUUUGCCCCUUCUGAAACCACCACCGGAGCUGGACUCCCAACCCCCAAAAUAGCAUCUCUUAUAAUCCUCAUAGGAGUCAAAAAGUUAAACGGCACAACAUCUUUCGCCAACUGAGCUUCCAUUUUCGACACAUUAUCCUUCACCUUCUUCGAAAUAGCCUCCACCCAAGGAUGAGACUUUCCCAAACAAAAAGGGUCAUCUUUAAUCUCCUUAUUAAUCAUCUCCAAAACCUUCUUAGCAUCCCCAACUAAACCUAAAUGGGGUUUUCUCAACUUAAUCUCUUCUUCAGAAACAUCCACUAAAAUGAACUUCACAUCUUUAUCCCAUUUAGGACUCUCCCCAAAGUGCAAUAACCAAUUGAGCCUUGCCCCAACAACCAAUGCAACAUCACAUUUGCCAAUGGCGAGUGACCUUGCAGCACUGGCGGCCAACUCAUGAUCGUCGUUCACCAGCCCUUUACCCAUUGGAGUUGGCAAAAAGGGGAUUCCCGUUCUUUCAACCAACUUUUUUAGUUCCCCUUCAGCUCGGGCAUAAGCCGCCCCUUUGCCGAAAACAAUCAAUGGCCUUUCCGCCUUCCUCAACACACUAACCGCCUUUUCGAUUUCAGAACUCGGCGGUGCUUUUGUUGCUUCAAAAACCCUUCCUUUCUCGACCUCGGUUAACAAUUUCUCAGCUUCGGAUUCAGUUAUCGUCUGAUGUAAUACAUCAGUCGGUAAAUCCAAAUAACACCCACCGGGUCGACCCGAAACUGCAGGAUCCAAAACCCUAGCAACACAAUCGGGAAUUUCCUUGAUAUCUAUGGCUUUAACAGAGAAUUUCGAAAAGGGUUUCACUGCUUCGAUCUGAUCAAGCUCCUGGAAAUCUCCACGACCGGAAUCCUUCUGAUCGGAGGAGCCAGAGAUCAUGACCAUGGGCCAGGUGUUGAUCAUAGCAUUGGACAAACCGGCCAGGCCGUGGACGCAACCGGGCCCGGAAACAGUCAAGAGAAGACCGGGUCGGCCCGUGAGGUAGCCAUAAGCAGAAGCCGCAUAACCAGCGGAUUGUUCGUUGUGAAAAGCAAUAAAACGGAUACCCAAUUGGACUGCACGGUUGGCGAGGCCAGUAACGGGGAUACCCACGACGCCAAACAUGUGGGUGACGCCGAAACGGGCAAAGGACUUGGCUGCUAAAACAUUGCCGUCUAAACAGUCCGCCAUCUUUUGUUUUAUUGUUGAUGAACUUUUGUUGUGGAUGAAACUUUUGAAGUGAGAAUGGUUUAUAAAGAAAUUAUAAAAUUACAGCGAACUAACUUCCAAAAUAGAAAAUAACAAUGUAAUCAAGGAAGAAAGUUUGACCAUUAGAGCUAGAGUGUUAAAAUGGGAUUUUGGUUGGAUUUAAAGAGGUAGCGUGGUAGUAGAGACAAGAGAGCUGUAUGUAUCUAAUUUUCAAAGGGAUGGAGUGGAGGAGCUGUAUCUGUUAAUAUUUUGUGACUCAUUUCUUGCUCUUUUAUUGAAUUUGUUUUCUACUUUUUCUUUGUGUGUUGAUUAUAAAUGGGACGGUAUGAGCUUUAGACUCGACCCACCUUCCAAAUUGAUCUGAUGCUUUUUGUACAGGGUUAAGACAGUGGGUGAAUUUCUAGUGGUUAAAGCUUAUUCAAAUCAGUCCUUUUUUAAGUAUGGUUUUCGGCUUUUCAAUCCAAGAUUGUUAUGCACUCAACUCUAACUCUCACAGAUUCUAUUAUGAGCUCUAAAAAGGUACUUAUAUCAAUAUUUUUCAUAAAAAAGUAAAAGAAAUUUUGGUGUGAGUUUGGGCUUUGAUCUUGUUUGGUUCCACUUUUGGUUUUAUGCUUCUUUUCCUUGUGUUGCCUUUUGAUGCUUGUGUGAGAUCCUUAAUCUUCUUUUUGAAUGAAUAAAUGAUUCAUAUGCUGUCAAAUCUAAGUGAUUAGAUUGGUGGGUUUUGUUUAAAAAAUAGAUUAAUUAAAUGAAGACAUAUAAAGGAAAGAUGAAAGAUGUUAAAAUUUGGACCUAAUCGAUUCAGUACAGCAAAUUUGGGAUUAAUCAAAUUAAAGAAAAAUUAUUGCAAAUGUUAAAUUUUAACCUAAUUUGUACAAUCGGAUGUUAAUUGAGGGAGGUCGCAUCUGUUACUUCUUUAACUUUUCAAAUUUGGGCGUCGGCUCUGAUAUAGCAAAUUUGCUCUUUGGUUUGACCGAGAGUGUCGCCAUCACGCACUACUAAACCUAUUUAUGGAUUCUUUCAAAAUUAUGCUCAAAUUCGUAUCAUUAACUCAAAUAAUAAUUUUUUUUUUAUCAUUUAUUACUAUUAUUUUUAAGAUUAAUUUUUAUUUGGAAAAAAGCAGCUUAAAUUUGACAAAUUUCUAAUUUCGACUUUUUAGACAUUUUCAUUUUUGUUACUCGAAUGAAAAAAAAAUUAAUUUAAUCACUACUGUUACAAUAAUUUAUCAUUCUAAUCGUUUAUCUUUUCUGAGUAAAAAAUUCUGAUAUGACAUUACCUAAUUCUUUUAAUCUAUUUUUUUCCGCAUAAACACUCAAUUGACAGGGUAAAAAUUGGUUGAAGGCUAAAAAUAAAAAACUAAGGCAUCUAAAAUUUUAAUCGAAAAAACCUCAAAAAAAAUAAAUUUAGGUUUAAAACCUCAAAAUUAAAGGAAUCGAUUAGGGUUUGAAUCGAAAGUAAUCAAAUCGAGGGUUUAGAGAAUUAGUUUGAUAGUUUAGUUGUUGUCUAUUAUUAUAUUGGUGUUCAAGAUUUGUUUGUAACAAUCAUUGGGUCACAAUGAAUGUGAAGAGGAGUCAACCGAGUUUGAAAUCAAGUGCUACAUCUGUAAUCAAAGCUUGGGAUGAAAGAUUGGGAAUGGUUGGAAGGGCUGUUGGGAUGGUAUUUGAAGGUGAAUGGGAAGAAUAACCAUGAAUUUAUAACUGAAUUUUCAUUGAUCUGCUUGUAGUUAUCACUUCUUCCUCUGAUUCCGCAACAUCAAAAGGAUUUUAAUACUAUUAAAAUGCUAGUUGUUUAAAAUCAGCUAAAGAAACUCCAAUAGCACACUAGGAUUGCAUUGUGUAACUCCAUUUCUAGCCGUUUUAAGUUUCAAUUUUGUUCCCCUAUUCUCUUUCCUUAAAGGCAGACAAUAAACUUAUGAAAAAAACAAUUUUGAGAUUAGAGUUUUAACACAGUAAAAAUAGGAGAUAAAUGGAUUUAAAAUUUUUAUAUAAUUACAUGGAAACUAUCGUUCAAUUAAGAGUGAUUAUAUGGACCGUACAUGUCCUGUCACAUUAACCUCAAUGAGAACACAGAUAAGUGACUAAAUCGAUAAAUUAUUUAAAAGAUGGUAAUUGAAUUGAAAUUUUUUAUUUAAAUAAUUAAAAUUAAAACGCUUAAAAAAAUGUAGUUAAUAUCGAUAGACAAAUAUUGGCACACUACCUCAAGUCUGCCAUAAAAAAAUGGUCCUGUCAUUGCCGGUGUGUUGGUGGCUAUAUACUUAAAUUUUUCCCCGGACGAAGCCUUUGCAGCGGUCAAUAAUGAGCUUAGCAAAACCAAUAUUUUCUUUUCUUUAUUUGGAUAUUUGGGUGCCAAUAAUAUUUGUAUUCGAAUAUUAGAAUAAUCAUUUUAAAAAAUAAAUAUCAAUUCUCAAAAUACUCUUUAAUUGAAUCCACACAACUUAAUAGAUAUCUGACCAGCAAAUCCAGACCCAGAAGUGAUCUAACACCAAAUUCUGCAAGGGUAACCAAUGUUGAGCAGGAUAUGGACAUGGUUAUUGGCUCUCACUACCUCGUCAUCAUAGUCAUCCAUUGAGCAAGGCCUCUUCAACUAGGUUGAGUUUUGUGCUUUACCUGCUAAAACUCCAGGUGACCCACAUGCAUGACCAUGGUCAAAGUCAAACCGGUUCUCAUUACUCAGUAACCACAGCUUCGCAUUCAGAUAACACACUUGAGCUCCUCUUGCUUUGCUGUGAUCAACAAAUUCACCUAAAACUCCAUAGAAGAUGACCAUAAUUCCAAUGCAGGUAUCAAUUAUUUACAAUGUUCAAUACAAUAACAACGUUGAUAGGAUUCCACAUAUACAGCAGUAAUUUUCCUUCGCUAUUCACUCGAGUUUGAGUAGUAAAAUAAUAAUAUGUAGCAAAAUAUAAUCACAUGAAGCUCAAUUUAAACCCAAACUUAAAGUUCUUAUGACGACAGUCCGUGACAACAAAACCGCAAUGCCUGUAAGGGCAAGGCAGAAAAGGCAAUUGGUAAAGCUAAAGAAAAAUGUAACUAAAAUUCCUUUUAGAAACAUAUUACAAACUUGGAAAUUCAAUUGUAACAUUUUCAAGUGCCUAAGCAAAUCAUCAUAGUGAAACAGUAAAUUCUAACAAACAAAAACAACCAAAUCAAACCCAGCAUUUCUGAAUCAUUACUUCAUUAUGCAUCUUCGUCCCCUGCCAAACUGUGGUUCAUAUUUCAGGUUCAAUCCCCGAAAUAGUUACCAGGUUAUCUAUUUUGAAUAACAGCCAUGUCUGUAAAUGAGAAACUUUAAGGAUCCUGCUCCUCAUUUUGAUUUGGUGAAGCAGGAACUUCCUCGUUUCCGUCAUUUUCAACAGGUUGAUCAGAUGGAGGGGGUUCUUCGUUUCCACCAUUCUCAGGGUGGAAAUUUAUGGGGAACUUUGUCACCCUGGGCUUAUCAGAUAGAAUAUUUCUUUGGACUUUCUCAAUCAAGACCUUUGGGGGAGGCUCCUCUCUAAGCUGCUCAUCAUCAUAAUCAUUGUUAACAUAGUAGCCGACUCGGAUAAACUCUUGGCCAAGAUAUGAACAAGUCAGGAGAAGCACUGUGACACCUAUAAUAUCUUCUUCACGGAUCCUUGAUGGGUCUGGCGGGUCUGCCUGUGACACAUUCAAGGACAAAGGUAAGAAUUUAAAACAAACACAUCAAAUCCGCAACUAAAACUGAGUUGGUUGAGAUUGCCUGUAGUACAAAACGGUAAUUUCCAACAUUGACAGGUCCAACAAGUACACUCUCCAGUAGUUGAUCGUAAGUCUCAUCUUCUGCAGAUCCGACAUAGAUAAGUUUCCAUUCUAAAUCUGCAACCCAAUAAAACAUGAAUAUAUUUUAAUCUCGAAAAAAACAUGAUGUCAAGAAAAACAUAGUAUAACUCAGUAAUCACGUAUGGGUGGUAAAGUCUUAUAUUAAAUUAAUACAAACACAUCCAUAAUCCAUUCAUGAAUGAUAAAAUAAAUUUAGAGUUAUUGUCUUCAAUGUCAGACAAAAGUAAAACAGAAGCAACCGUGAUAGAAAUAUAUCCAUGUCUUAAACUCAAUUUCCAAGUCCAAGCAACAUUCACAACUAAAACAUACAAAAACAGGUGUCCGAGCUGAAAAGCUGCUCUUCUACACAGAAUUGGCAUUCCACAUAUUUCUUUGUUCUAGAAACUUUAGAAUGCUUUUGUGCAAGUUGACUAUUAGCAACCCAUUCCAUGUAAAUCCGUUAGUCAAUAACUUAGGUUCUAGCAUAAAUUGUAUCAAAAUACACAUAAAUGUAUCCCUAGAAUGCUAAAAUUCUGUACCUCUUCUCUUUAGGGUGUUCUUAUAGGGUCAUUCAAUGGCCUUCCACUGGAAAUCAAAGGGCAAAAUGCCGAAGCCAAUUAACUAGACAAUCAAAUUAAGCAAACAUAAAAGGAAGCUUCAUUGACUAAAAGGAAAUUUGCUUUACAAAGUAAAACAAAAAUUCUUCUUUCUUUUCUUCUUCAAAACAAGGAAAGCUAAAUAUAUUUUCCAACUAACAAAAAGCUUAACUUUCUACAGAAAAGAAAAUACAACAAAUUCCCACUUCUUUGUUUCAUUCUUUAAAAAAGAAAACAUACGAUAUAAACUCGUAAAACCAAUAUAUGCAAUCAAAACUUGCAAGUGAAGAUCAAUUUAUGCCUGACCCAAACCCUAAACCCACAAUUGUACCACCAAUUAACUAAAUAACCUUAUUCAAGCAUACUAAAUCUUUUUUCUUCUUGUCCUAACAUUUUUCCCAUUAAUCAAAGAGGGAAAAACACAAAACAAAAUAUCAUAGCCUUGACCUCAAGCAAACCCUAAACCUAAAAAAGAGAGAACUUAAAAACAACAAAUGAAAUCUUAAAAGUAUUCAAACCACAAAAAAAAAGGUGUUUCAGAAAGAAAGGUACCAUCUUUAAGAGGAGUCAAACACUCGUAGGAAAUCUCGAACUGAAAAGCAGACAAGAAGGAAGCUGGGUUAUCCAAAACGGUAACAUUAGUAAUGUUGACGGCACUCAUUGUCUCGAUUCAAAGAAAAAUUAGAGUAAUUUCUAGCCGAUUAAUCCAAACCCCAGCUUCUCGAAAAUUCAUCGAACUUCAAGUAAAAACCUAAUGUAAAAUAAACAAAUAAAAGCCAGAAAGUUCAGAAUAUUAAAAGAAAAAAAGAAUCAACGGCGAGAAGAACAGGUUUUAGGAAAAUUUAAAAAAAAAAUUCAGUGGGGGGUUUUGAGAUUUUGGGGAUUUGGAGCUUGAAAUGAACUUAAAAUAAAAUUGGAAUUGAUGGAUGGAUGGAUGGAGUUCGGAAGAAGAAAUAAAAGGAGGGAAAAUGAUGGAAAUGGUGAUUUGGGGGCAAAAUAAAAUAAGUUUAUUUUUUGUAUCAAAAAAGUAAUUAAUUAAUUAUUUAUUUAUUUAGGGCAAGUGGGAAAGCUGUCCAAAGGUGUAUGGUGAAAAGCGGGUUGUCAAAUUUGGCGGGAGUUUGGAAUGUAUGAAAGAUUAAAAACAAGAUGGAGGAUGCCAUCUAUGUAAAUAAUAAUUAAAAUAUAAUGCUAAAUAUUACAUUGAAAUUUAUAUAACAUAAUUAUUAAUAUAUUUAAGUGUUUAAUGUUUUUUUUUCUUUUCUAUCGAGAGUUUUUUUCAAAAGAAUAAGGUUUUAACUUUGUGUGCUUAUUUUUUUUUAUCUUUCAAAUUGUUUUAGAAUAUUUUUUUAUUUGCGAAUUAAUCAUUUUCUUUUGUUUUCUCUUCAUCUUUUUGUAUAGUUAUUUUAUUUUAUUCGCAAAUGUUCAAGAAAUAAUUAAGAAAGAAAAAAAUUUUCAAGAACUGAUUAUGAAUACAAUGGACAUAAAUUUCAAACUCGAACCAUUUUGAUGCAAAUCUAAUGCUUUCGAUAAAGCAAAAGAUUUUUCCUUUGCUUUUGGAAGCUUUAUGUUGUUUUUUCAGCUCUAUUUCUUUGUUUGGUUUUGGGUUUCAAUUCAUUGCAAGAACAAGUGAUAUCACUAACAAAGUAAGGUUGAUUAUAUGAUGGCUUUAAGUAUGGUGUCUUAACUUCUCAAUCCAAGAUACUCAUGCAUAAAGCUCCAUCGAUCAUGGGGCAUUGUGUCUUGAAUUUAUGCUCUUUUUGCUUGUUCGUUUACAAUGUCUGAUUUGUCUUUUGAUCUUGAAUGACGUUCUUCAACAAGAUUAAUACAAUGUGUUUUAAGAUUUUGAAGCGUUUUAAAUAAUUAUUUGUGUCUUUUUUAUAGAAUAAUUUAUCUUGUCUAUAGAGUUAUAUGACUGCCUAAAAUAGUCAAAUGUAAGCCUUGAAAAAGGUUUAAUAUAUACUGGACUUAACUAGCUUACAAGUGUAAUCAUUUAAUUUAAGUAGUGUUAAUGUCAAAUCAAACUCAAGCUCGGCCUUAUAAAUAAUCUUAUAAACCAUCAAACUUGAAGACGAGUAUGAAAAUUAUAUUUCUUUUAUACUAAUUAAUUGAGUAUAAUUCUUACACUAUAAACUAUACUUUAGGAUUAUAAUUUUUACAUAUCGUAACACAAGCAAAUACUAGAACUAGGAAGGAAAACAUAUAUACACAAACCCGAAAACAGUUGUCAUCGUUGGGCCGUCACAUCCAUCUUUCGAGUCUGCGAAUGAAACAUUUCAGCUACAUCUGCUGCCGUGCUACAUUCCUCGGGGUUCCGAUCUGUAACCAAGCGAAUGAACCUAGGAAAUCUUAUUGAGAUGCCACGCGACGGAUGAACUAAUCCUAUCGCAGCCUGAUGAACCGGUGAUACGGUGAAGUCCGCACCUCUUAUUUCCCAAAUAAGUUCUGGAGAGAACCACAUAUCAGGCACCUCAGCUGUUUGAUAGUAAGCUGGCUUUUUGGCUAAGAUCCUAUCCCCCGCAUAGAACUCUUUCAUCUGAGCUCAAUAAAGAAAACCAAAUAACUCUUUUAGCAUAACUUACGAAGUUUAGGGUAACAUGAACAAGAUGAAAACAUGAAAACUUGAAACUUGUAUGCACAGGGCAAUGUUUUACUAGAUAUAUUGCUCCAACUCUUCAAUUUUCUCUAAGUACACCUGUCCAACGCAUAUCCAACAUGGGUAUAGGAAUACAAUCCACCAAAUAUAUGGAAAAACUUGGAUAAAAAAAAUUUAAACGGACCCAUGUCAGACGCAGAUUAAUACUCUAACACUUGCUUCCUAGUCUAAGUAACAUAAUAUAGGUUAAUAAUGGUAGGAUCCGUGGAAAGAAACAGGAAAAGUCAUGUCUGGUUUCUUGAAGGGACUAUCAAAAACAGUGAUUUGAACAAGAAACAAGUACACUAUUUAAUAGUAUUAUGCCCAUUACAUCAAAUCUCAGAGCCAUUCUCACUUUUCUACCGUUAGAAAACUGAAUCAAAUGUACUCCAAUAAGUUGCAAAACAGAUGAGCUCAUUGUUGCAAUCUUAACUAAGCCUACAUCGAAAAGAUCUAAAGUUCAGAAUAAAAAUUAUUUUCAUAUAAAACAUAACCAUGUGUAAGUUUAAGUUCAGUGCUUGAAAGAUUUAACGCCAUAUCCUUGGUAACAUGAAGAAAAAGUGCACUUUCUAAAAUACAAACAUCACCAACAUCCCACUUUACCUCUUUGUAAAAUGAAUCAGAGAAUCCAGACAUAACACGACAUACACUUUGAAAAUCUUCAGUGUCUGGGUUGUAGCAUGCCAUGAGGAAGGGGCUGUACCUGCUAGAAACACGUAACAUACAUAAAAGCAUGAAUUAGAACAGAAAGGAUUCACAUUGAGAGCCUGUGGCAACGAAAUUCAGUGUAAUAAAUAUCACUUGAUUUGAUUUCAAUCAUCUAUAACAUUUUCUUAGAUAAUAUAUGAACAUACUUCAUAAAAUGCAAAUCACUCCUCUUUCACUUGAAUUCAAUUCUACAUGCUUGCUAUACAUCGCAGCUGUUAAAACAUCAGGUCUCUUAGAUCACAGGUUAUUUAUCGAGUGAUAUAAAAGUUUACGUUUUCCAGUGUCACCAGGAUCAUUUCAGCACACCUAGGGUUUUGUAAGUUAUUAGGUCAAUGUUCAGAUGAUUCCAAGCGUCUCUAGGAGCUUAUAUUUAUUUUCUUGAUGCCUAUCAGUCAUUUACCUACUUACUAAUUUGUUUUGCAUAUGCAAUUCCAUCCUAGUGAGUUUAGGAGGGGAUGGUAUUUGAUCAAUGGAACUCUAUCUCUUUUUGCAGUUUCUUCUUCUCCUAGUAACUUCUAAGUGUCAACACUAAGCCCCUGAAACCCAUGUAGGCAAUCAUGCCAAACAGCAUUGUCAAGGAUGCAAGGCAAAGACAUAGGCCCGAUCAAAUGCAACAAAGGGUCCAAGGGGCUUUUUUCGACUAGUGCCAAGGCGCAAGGCAUAGGCAUGUCUGAUCAAAUGCAACUUGCCCAAAAGGUAUGAGGUGCUUUUGUUGUCUAGAGCUAAACACAAAACUUAGGCAUGCAUCCGAUCAAAUGCACCUUGCCCAAAAGGAUACAAGGUGCUUUUGUUGUCUAGUGAUAAGAUGUGCCUAGGUGCACACCUUGACAACACUUAUCGCAGAUGUGCACAACAUCAAAUAUCUGUUGGGCAUGUUACAUAUGCAUAUACAUAUACAUAGGGUCAUUCAUUACCAUCCCGCUUUUCUUCCAUUGCCAUGCCAAGCACCAAUUGGGACUAAAUCAAGGGAAUCGCUUAAUCCUUCCACAUAGUCUCGCUUCACCUAAGAGAGAACACCAAGCAAUCGGAUUCAAUAUUUAGUUCUCUUCCUAUUUCUGAGCAGUUAAAUGAUUAAAAUGUUCAAGUAACCACAAAACCUUUAACCAUGUAUCACUACGUUUUGACAGAAGGUAUCCAGCAUCAAUAUCUAAGGCUUUAACCAUAAUUCCUUCACAUGAGAACUGCAAUGCAUCUUCAAGAAAAGAGUUUAUAGUAAAUGUGGCCUCACUGGUCAAACAAGCAUCAUCUGCUUCCACCUAUUUAGCAAGAAAUCAUAAACAAUACCAAUCAGUCCUAUGUUGCUCUGACUCAUUUUUCUUGAAGUAUCCAUGUCUUGACAUAUAUUGGUAUAUGUGAGGAGAUAUAACCUUUCAAGUACCCUCCAAAUACAUAAAAGAAAUUUGAAAUAAGUAAAUAAAUAUACCUGUGCCAGACACAGGACAAAUAUCUGACAUUGACAUCCAAGCUAAUAACUAAAAAAUUGUAUUCUGUAAACAAGGAAAGCAGAGAGGACUUACUAUGAUUUCUUUUGCAUAUUCAAAAUGACCCAACUUCUCAUCAUGAAACAAAUCCUUCAAACCUAAAGUUUUUUAGCAUGAGAGAAAAGAUCAAACUUACAACUCACAAGAGUUUGAUAAGAGGGACUUUGAAAUAAAUUAACCUGAAAAAGAAAAAAUUGUGGGAGGGGAAAGGCAUACAUUUCCUUCUUUGGCGUAGAGGAACACCUAGCAGCCUGUAAUGGAAAUUAUAUCAUUUUUUUUUUAAUUUUAAUGAAAUAUAAGAAAACAGCAACAAAAAUAAGAGGGACAACUAUUUGUAAUUUAAGAUUUAUUUCAGACACAGAUUUACAGCUACAUGAAGAUCUACACUCUAGUCUUUGUUCCAGAAAAAAAAAUGCUUAACUAUAACAAUAGCCAGAUUUUAGGUGAUUGACAUACAACAGUAUAUAUUGAUAAAAUCGUAUGACUUUCUGUAUGUAACAGAAGUGAGUGAAUACUUAGGUUACUAGCUAUGUUACUCAGACUAAAAUGUGAGUGUUGGAUACAAGUAUGCAUCACACACAGGGAUGUUCAAUCUAUUUAAGUUAUUCUGUGUAUUUGGAGGGUCCUUAGAGGGUUAUAUCCCAAUACCCAGUCCAAAUAAACAUUGGGCAUGAGUGUUGAACACGGAUACUUAAGAAAAAUGAAGAGUAGUAGUAACAUAGGUUUCCAGAACUUAUGCUUCAGUUGCUCAUUAUCUUUCCCCUUUAAUAAAAUUAAUGGUAAUACUGUCAACUAACUCUUCAGUUUUCUCACUUAAAACACAGAAGUAAAUGCGGGGAUAAUAUUUCAAUUGCACUAACCAAUCUCUAUCACAUCAGAAAGGAAUUUAAAAGCAGUGAUAAAACUCUUAUACUAAUUGCUCAUAAAUCCCUAUGUCACAGGGACACUCAAUAGCAUUUGCAAGGUCCUCUAGUGAAGGAAUAAGCCAGAGCAGCAUAAAGUCCAUUUUAAAUUAUGCAGAGAGAGAUAUGGCACUCAAGUCAUUUAAUUUAAAUGAAGUAGAUUGAAAAGCAGUUGAAAGCACAAAAUCUAUACCACAUCGGAGACGUGGCAACCUACUGGGGUAAUUAGAAGUUCAUUCAAAAGUUCUUUAUCAACAAGGAAACUUGGUUGUGGUCAAGUGAAUUCAUCAUGAUGACAGAAAUAUAAUGUGUUAAACGAAUGCACUUUGAAGCCAAAAAAUCACUAGCUAAAUUUCCAUCAUUUAAUGAAUUUCUAUGUUACUCCAAUUCUUCAUCAUUGCUGAAGUACCCAUGUCCAACACCCUUAUCUGAUGCAUAUCUAGACAUAGGUAUAGGAAUAUGACCCUUUAAGGAUCCUCCAGAUACAUAAAAAACUUGGAUAAAAUUGAACAUACCAAUGUAGGACAAAUACCCAUAUCCAACAUCCACACCCAAGUUCAAGUAACAGAGAUGAAUUUCUAGCAUGCACUUCUGCAAAUGCAUGUUGUGAAUGCAAGAGGCAGUGAGGAAAGAUAUAAACUGAGAAUAAAUAUUCUAUUCUUAUUCAAUAUACUAAUUCCUUGCAAAGUUUGAUUCAUUACUAUUGCUCAUGGGAAAGCUCCUGUUUUUUGGUUCAUUCAUAGAAUCAGAAAACACUCCUGCUAUAACUUGUCCUCAAUUUUUUAGUCUAUAUAUCUAUAUAGAUAUAUGUCAAUAAAAGAACCUCAGAACAAUUCCAAGAGAGGGUUCAAGAUAUUUACUGCUGUCCAUUAGCAAACAUGAUGUCAAACACAAAUACGCAAAUAUUAACCUGCAAGUUACAAUGAUAUUAGAAAGAAACCUCCAAAUUUAACUUUAGGAUACAGGAAAUAAAAGUUGAACUUAUAAGAGAAGAUGAGUGAAUGUGAAAACUCUAUAUUCAAAGGGCCCCUAACAUCAGUUAGGAAAGCACAAGGGAAAUAGGUAUCUUUUAUAACAAUAAGUGAAACAGCUAUGCAGAUCCUUCAUGUCAUAAGAUUACUUUCAAUUCGCUUCAAUGCUUGAUGCUUGCAUCAUCAAACUUCCACAAAAAUAGUAAAUCUAAUCGUGUAAUAUUACAAAGUGAAAAUAAAGUGAACCUUUAUUUUGUCCACUGUGAUCAAAGAAUCUUUGCUUCCUCUUUCUCUUGAAGAUAAUUCUUGGAAGGACAUCAGCUUCUGACCAUUCUUCCUAUCAAUUGCAACUACCUGAAGCCACAACAAUAAACAGAAUUGGCAACACAUAAGGGUAUGUUCCAUCUAACAUAUUCUACAGCUCAGUUAAUUUUGCAAGAAUAACCAAAAACAACAACAACAAUAAUAAUAAUAACAAAGAAGCAAAUCUCAAAGAAGUAAAAGGCAAGUUGCCAUUAGACAAUCUCACCUCAGCAUCCAAUAUGAAAGUCUGGGCAGCAGGCUUAGCAGAUUCUUUAAUUGUAUUAAUUAAAUCUGGAAAUCUUAAUGUUGUUUCAUCCCCAUUUCGUGAAAAGACACGCACCGCUCCAUUAGCCAAUUUGUGAAUCUGGACACGCUGACCAUCAUAUCUGAAAAUUACAUGCACAGGAAAACCACUCAAUCAUACCCAACAUAUAAUAAAACUAAGAGAUGUGGAAGGAAAGUUAGAAAAUUCCAAGACCUGCCUUCGCAUCAGUUAUCCAACUAAUGUGAUUCAAGAAAAAACUCAACCACGUUGAGUGAAACAAAAGAAUAUGGUGGCAUACUAGGAAGGCAUGAAAGCUUCACAGUUGUUUCUUGCAAUAUCCCAAAAUAGCAAAGAAUACAAUUUUAAACUAGAGGAAAUGUGCAUGAUCCACACGGAGAGGGAGAGAAAAGAGCUUACUUAUAUUCACAUGUAAAAGCUUUGUUUUGAAAAAGCUUCAGUACUUCUGGAACCCCAUUGGUAAUUCUACAAUCAUGGAGAAUAAUACCACCCAUAGGCAACAGCAUUAGUACAAUUUGAUAUACAAUAAAGAUACAAAAGAGUGAUAUGUAUACAUACUUUGCAAGCAUGGGUUUAAUAGGUAUUCCCGGAACCAUUGACAAGGUUGAUGAUGAAAAUGCAAUACCUUCCUUCAUUAGUGAAGGAACAAGCAAAUCCUAUCCACAAAGCAUCAUCAGCGUAAAUGUACCAAAACAAACAUAUUCUAUCUUAUGCUGCUUCCAGAAGAAUGGAGAGAAGGAAAGGAAACAAACUGGCAUGUGAAAUAUGUUAUAAAGCAAAUGAAACAGACUCAAAUUUAUAAUUUAUAAGAACAAAAAGAUAUCAAGAGCAAAUUAACGCAUAUAUAAUUACAUUAAAGAAAAGCUACCACACAUAUUAUAUAUAAAAAUCUCAAAAGUGGGUAAGGUAAAUCAGGAACUUAAAAGAAAUAGAAGAAAAACAUAAAGUUGAAGAACUUUGAUAUAAAAUGUAUAGGCAGUUACCAAAUUUGGAAGUACAUUAUAUGCUUCGGUUACUGCUGUAGAAAGUUCCUGACAAGUAACCAAAAGAUCAAAUCACAAACAGAAACAAAUAAUCACUUGCACAGAAAACAAGCGAUGUUGAAAAUAGCAUUAUGCAUGUAGAUAAAUCUAAUAGAUACCUUUGGUAGUAGGACCUAAACAAAAAUUAGAUCAAACUAACACAAACAUCAAAAUAUUCACCACUUAACACCCCCCCUUUUUCUUUUUUUUCUUUUUUUCUUUUUUGGGGGGGGGGGUGGCGGCACCGGUGGGAGGUUAAAAGUUAAUCCACUCAUUGCUUUAAUACUUCUUAACCAUAAUGGCAUGAUGUAAACAUCAAGUCUUCAUAAAGAGAUCUACUAUUUCAUACUCUUCAAGAAAGAAAAAAAUUUUAUAGCUUAUGGUUUGUAUCAAACCUGGAGCUUUUCUUUUAGACAAUCUGCUGUCCCUUCAUGACAAAGAGCACGAGAGGAAUUCAUGACAACUGCUUGAGCCAAUGCAGGAAGAACAGUUUUCAUCAUUGCUCCUAUUCGCAAAUUCCUGACCUGUGUGUGCCAUAAUUUCAAAACAGAAGACAUUGCAGAGCAAGUCAAUGCUUGUACACCAAAUUAAGAACUGUGCCACAAGGAAUCCUUCAUUCACAUUCAUGAAGUCUACAACAAAUGCACAAAUUCAAAAAUCUUAACAUGCCUCCACGAAAAUUGCCAAAAAAUUUUAUUAUCGGGCACGUGAAGGUUGAUAGCAAUCAAGACAAUGAGCAGUAAAAAAUAUCAGCACAAGAUAGUGUUUGCCUUGAUCACAUCUACUACGAGAGAAGCAUCAAUUGGGGGAAUAUUAAUAUGAUAAGAUCUUGUCAAAUGUGCUAAACUCUAAUAUGAUAAUAAAGAAACUCACUAUCCAUGUUUCAGAAAAGAUAUCACCUAUCAAAAAAAAACAUUAACCUUCUGCUCUUUUCAUACUGUUGGAUACCAGAUAAUUACAUAAAUAAAAUCAAGAAUCACCUACAUAAGAUACAUACAAGAAAUAUCAUUUUUCAAAUCUUACCAAAGUUCUCACUAGAAACUUCAUCUCCUUCUCUCUACAUGAACGUAUAAGAUUCACGAUAAGGUUUUUCUUCCGCAUGGUGCUGCCACUGCCUGUUUGUACACUGAUAAAUGCUAUGUGAGGAAAAUGGGAAAAAGAGAAUAUACAUGACAAAGAUUAAAAUAAUACAAAACAAAAUGAUACGCAUAUUUCUCAAAUUUUAAAAUCAUACCAAAUGGAUACUAAUACAUGGAAAAAAUGAACUGAGUUUCUCUUAUUCGGAAAUAAGAAAUAAAGAGAACCUAUAUCAAAGGCUUGUUUUAGUCCAAGAAUCUAUAGGCACAAUCGUAUGCUUCUGGCACUCAAGUGACAUGAAUAACUAUUCAAACCAUUAGAUAUUUUAUAGCAAAAUAUAGAACAUGAGAUCACUGGGGACACAAUCUUUUGUCUUAUCAUCGACGAAGUGGUAAUAACAUUCUGCUUCUAAUCUAUCAAGUAAAUGAGAAAUCAGUUCUUAAUCUUAUGAAGAAAGAAAUAUUUUACAAGUUCUCAGUGAAUUUCUUACCAGCAAAACCUAGGCAUUAACCAAUUACUUCGAGUUCUAAGAACUGCAAAUUAUUAUGACACUCAUACUUUCCUACAUCUCUGGAAACAGAUCAGUAUCUAGUAAUGGAUUCAAUAUUUCAAUAAUUUUAUAAUCAUGUGUUGCUGCAGGAUCAAUACUGGGCUGAUCAUACCUUAUCUUCCAAAGCACAGAAUAUACAUCCCUAAUUAAUAGUUGUCGUGGAGGAGCAAGUAAAGUUUGGGUUUGUCGGCAUGCUUGUGCAACAUCACCUUAGACCAAAAAUAGGCGGUAAGAAGAUGCCAAAAGUUAUGGAUGAAAAAGACUAACAGAAAAUGGAAAUUUCUGAAUGGAAUUAUCUGCUUCUACCAAGAUCACCCAUGUCAUUGUACAUAUCCCUUAUUUUUGAACGGUUAGUCCCACAAGCUUCUUCCAGUGCAGAUGUAACCAAACUACCGCCAAUAUUCAAUUCCUGCAUCAUUACUACAGCAUGAAUGCAUCUUUUCCUUUUCAGCUAAUCUCUAUUAAUAUUCUGUUUCUUAUUUGUUAAGCAACCUCAAUAUACAAUCUAAAGGGGAAAUUAUCUUUUACGGAAUAGAGAGUAAGAAUCAACUACUGCAUGAAACAACAAAAGGAAGAUACAGACAGGAGAACUGGCAAAGUGGACUAACAAUAUUUUCAUGAUCAGCGGCGAUUUUGUUGGUGCACAGAUACACAGCAGGAAGCACAUCCUCGGGGGAUAAGGCCAGCAAACUGGUUGAAAGAAGAUGUCAAGGAAAAAGGGCUGGCAUUCAGUUAUAAGUAAAGCAAUGCAAGCUUUGAUUUCACAACCAAGAGAUAUACACAAAAUAAUAAGAUACAAUCUUACCAACCUCCUAAACAUAUUGCAAAGCAUGGAAGUAGCUUUGAUCUUUCCCCUUUGACUGCCAACAAGGUCAAAAGUCCGUGCAAGAUGGACAUAUGGAGCAGGCUGGUCAGACCUCCAGCAUGCUGCACAGACAUCUCAGUAGGAGUUUUAAAAUUUUGUGAGUAAGCUGAGAUUCUGAGAAGUUCUAUGAACUUUCCCCAAAAAGAAAGAGACACCAAAGAUGCAACAGGAAUAUAACUCAAAGAAAAAUGCCUAACAUUUAAAAACAAUAAAAUAACUUCUAAAUAGAUGCUACCAUACUACAGAAUUAGAAGAAUUUCAAGAUAUAGUAUUAAGAAAAUGGCAAAUGAAAACAACUUCUUGACACUAACCAUGCUCAAUGGGUUUAUAUUUAUCAGGAGGCAAUGAUACAAGAGUUACGUCAACAUUUUCCACUGGUUGUCCUUGCAAAGAUGAAUCCGGAGUAGAUCUUGACUCCUCCAGUGCAUGUUCAUUCUUGCUAACAGGGCAAUCAUUACUACAGCUCCAGACCUGAGCUGAUUUGCUGGAAAAUACCAUAUUUUCCGUAUUCCCAUCAUGGUUCACUUCAGGAUUACCAUAAUAUGUAUCCAGUGCCCUGUUGAUAUCUCCUUGGGUCUUCUCAAGUAAGGUGGCCACAUAAUUUCUUGACGAUUCAUUGCCAUUUAUUAUCUGAAUAAACUGAUCUAUUUUCUCUGUAUAUGAUUUAGUCAAGUCACCAGGCAAAGUGAUUUCAUCCUUAGGGCAUUCCUCAAUUUUCAAGCCAGUCCCACCACCUUUAGAGUCAUCAACCAAAACUUUACCAAAGAAGCUAGUUAUCAUAGGUUGCUUUGACCCGCUAGAUUCCAGUUUUGAGUUGCUUUUUACUUUCUUAUUUGACUUGUUCUCAGUACUUUUCUUCCUUUUACCGGGAGAUAUGUUACUCCGAACUGAAAGUUUAAAAUUAGAAGGCUUGCUGGCUUGACUUAAAUGACUGAUUAAACCUUCAUGACUGCUACUUCUAAAAGGCCCUGAAUUCAAAGAUGAGACAGAGUUGUCAGAUGAACCUGCCUGAGCAGCAGAGGCAGAAUCAGAAGUUCUAAAAGCAGAGAUUUGCUCGUAUAACUCAUUUUCAUGUUCAUAAAAAUUAGAAACUGCUUCAACAACAUUCCAUCUUGAGCUGCUGAUCAAAUUUAAUUUCUGGUCCCUGGUCACCCAUCUGGGCAAAGAGUCACCUAAUUCCUCAAUGAUUCUCUCUCUUUCCUCCUCACUCGGUAUAGCUGAAUCUUGUAAAUCAGGUUUCUGCACAGGAGAUGAAUCAUUCAAAGUAAUAUCUGCAUUUUUACUCUCAACAGAUUUCAUUUCCAAUAUAUUUUGCUUUCUCUCCAUGUCCUUGUCCUCAUUCAAGUCAGGACUAGCAUCCAUUUCGACUUUUUCUACACCCCCAUAGUUGCCGCGAUGAAAACCCAUCAGGAAGUCCUUUUUAUUUGCCAUUUCAUCAACCAGACCAGCAAAGUGCCUUCUCAGCUUAUCAGCAUGCUUACUGUCAAGCUUCUCAAUGUCCAUGCCAACAGUAGGAAUAACCUUCUUUGGUUUCAAAAACUUCACAUAUUCUCUAAGCUCAUCAUAAUUAGAAUGCUCACUGUAAGGGACUAGAUGUAUCUCGAUUGAAUCUUUUGACCUCACUGCAAAUUUAUUCCGUUUAAUUUCAUAAGUCCACCCAGUCGGCACAAAGCCAACAAUCUUCUCAUACCCUUUUUCCUCCAUAAUCUCUUUCAUUCUCACAAAAUUCGGCCGAAAAUACGGCCACGUCUCGCCUAAUACAUUCCAACCAACGACAUGAACAUUACUCUCACUCUCAUCUACCGUGAAAACUUUAUCACCCCCAUACCCCAAAACAUUUAAAAUCUCCAUUUUCCUCCCAUCAACAAAUAUCUUCCUCUUACAUCGCCUCGCGACCUCAACCAAAAUCUUCUCUUUUCCAACAACAUAAGUGGCAACAAGAAACAAAACCUUUUUUUCUUUAAAUUCCUUUCCUAUCCUAUCUACCACACUAACUACAUAAUCAACCGAUUCUUCUUGAGAAGGAAAUACGAAUUUUGGAUUACAAUAAGUAGUAUCUAAAAAAAUCGCAUCACAACCAACAAAGUCAUUCAAAUAACUAUUCAACUUCAUCGAAUUACAAUAACGACAAUCACCCGUGUGAACAUACCUUUCAAAGCUCCCGUUUUUUGUGGGAACUUUGAAUAGGAAUUGGACAGCACCGGGGCAAUGAUUGGCGUCAACGAGAAUGACCUCGCAGCCAUCUACCACAACGGGGUCGUUUAGAGGUAAAGGGAAGACGAAAUGAGGCGGGAUUUUAAGGGUUUGGAUGAGGAGGAGGGAAGUGAGGUGGGAACAAAAGAUGAUGCCUUUGGACCAGGAAGGGGAGAGGCCGGAGUAGUGGUCGGAGUGGAAGUGGGAGAGGAAGUAGGCGGCGGAGAAGGUGGUGGUGGUGGAGUGGCGGAAGGAGUCGACAAGGAAUCGGGUAUUGGGUAUGAGUUUAGAGGGAGGGAAAGAGGAGGGAAUAGAGGGAAAAGAAAGGGUGGAAUCGGAGGAGUCUAUGGCAGUGAGAUAAAGUUGGGUGGAGUCUAACGCAAGUGUUUUGGUGGCGGUGGCCGUCCCUUGAGAUGACAUUGGCAGCAUUUGGUGCGGAGGAGAAGGGAGAGUUUUCACGAGAGGUUGAUUUGGGGGGUUUUCGAGAGUGUAGCGGUUGCGGAUGGGUGAGUUUUUUCCCGCCUGCGCGCCGUAGGCUUGUCCAUGGGCUGGACAGCAUUCAGCCCGACAGACCCGUCCGUAAACAGUUUCGUCAUUCGAGCCCCUUGGUUUCGAAUUAAAAUAGAAGGGAAAGUAUCAUUAAACUAUUUACUUGCAUCUAUUUUGAUUAUUCAAAUAAUUAUAUUUUUAUUUAGUGAUUAAUAUCUUUGAAAUUAAAUAUUUUAGUUAUUCUCACCUUAAUUGUUAUUAGAGUGAUAGAAAGUUAUUGUUAGGUGAGUGAUGAGAAGUUGAAUUGGGUUUUUUUUAUUGAUCUAAUAAAAAUUUUAACUAUUUAUUGUUUAUACAUUCUAUUAAUUUAAUUUAAAUAUAAAUAAUUCAAUAAGUUUAGCCCUCAGUGUUUAUAAAAUUUAUCAUUUUUGUUCAAAUUUUUAAAAAACUCAAUAAAUCUAGCCCUCAACAUUUUUAAGAUGACAAAUUUUAACUUUUAAAAAUUUAUCCUAAACUAUUAAUUACUUGGUUUCUUUUAUCAAUCGAUAUGAAGUGAUCUGAGUUGUACUCUAAAAGACUUAUGUAUAUAAAUAAGAGGUUAUAACUUUUGAGGCAAAAUGAGCUGAUAAUUAGUGAGUGGUAUUAGUAGUGCAAACUACAGAUUAUCAUUAAGAUAGUUCUAAUACUUACCUUAUUUGAUUUGACAAUUUAAAGAAGAAAAUCUUUGGACCUGAUUAUGCAUUAUUUUAUUAAAGAUAUUAUGGUCCAUCUAUGGAAAACUAAUCCUUGGCAUUUGAAAAUUAGAUUGGAUUCAAGUGAAUCAAAUUAUCCUUUGAAACAUGGAAAACUAAUGAAGACUAUGUAGUUCUUUUGUAAAUAAGAUAUUCAAUUGAUUAUACUUUGAUUAUUGUGAUUGUAGUAAAUAUUUUCAAGGAGUUACAUUGUAUUAGAUUUUAUGUUAGCAAGCCAAAUUGAAUAUAUGUUAUAAGGCUUGUCUACGUUUUGUAAGAAAGUUUACUGAGAGCACUUGAAUUUGUUCAUUGAGGAACUAUUUUUGUGAGAGAGUGCAAAGUUUGUAUUGUAAACAUUGUUGAGAGUGUUUACUGCCCAAGUUCUAAAAAAAAGGAUUUGGAGGUAAGAGUUCUAGUCUUUUAAGUAUAAAAGUGAAGUCUCUAUAUUUGAAAAGUGAUAGAGUGUGAGUCACUUAUUAUAUUGUUAACUAAGGAUAGUGGAAUUUCUCAUUGAGCUAGGCACUGCAGACGUAGAGAAAUCGAAUUGCGUAAACAAAUCAUUAGUGUUAUUUGGUUUUUUGUUUACACAGUUUUGCAGUGUCAAGAUGUAAUGGCCAUUACAAUCUAGCACUUCCAUUGCACUUGUUGUGUUAAGAAAAUAAGCAACUUAAUUUAGCAAUAAUUGGUAUCAGAGUAGACACUUAACAUAUCUAGUGGUGAAUCUUGAUGCUAUUUUUUUUUCUUAAAAUGGAAGGUUAGUCGAUUACUCAUUCCCCUGUGCUUGAGAAUGACAAUUAUCCCUACUUGAAAGCUAAAAUGAAAGCCUACAUUAAGUCUGACAAUGAAAACGUAUAGAGAUCUGUACUUACUAACUAGUAAACUCCUACUAUUGAUACUAAUAUUGGGAAGGUUCCUAAGCUUGAGGUUCAAUAGACUUUGUAACAUCCCAUACUCGACCCGGUUGUCGGGCCUGAGCUACGAGAUGCCAUAAUCAACGAUUUAAUAAAUUCAAAACAUCAUGGAACAUAAAAUCAUUAAAAUACAUAAAUAAUUAACAUUUAAGUACAUAAUGUAUUACACAAUCAUUUUUAGGUCCUACAUGAACUUAAGAAAGCUCUUUUGUUAACCUGAGCUUGAAUUAGGAUCAAAUUGUAAAGUUUUAAAAAUUUAGAGUUGAUGUCGCAACCUUACAUCAUCCACAUCGUGAAGUUGCCAACACAGUAAGUCACUUUGUGAUUUCAAGCAUAUCGACGUCAAAACGUCACUCACUGUCAGCAUUAUGUUGCGACAUUGGACAAUCGUGGUCGUGACGUAAACCUUGUUUUGGCCAAAAAAUACUAUUAGAUUCCAAUUCAAGGAAUGCAAAGCUACCUAGAUUUAUUCUUAACAUCUUAUACCGUUAAAACCAAGUUAAAACAAUAUCAUUUCAUUAUAACAAGCCGCCCAACGAAUUUCAACUAAGUUCAACUCAAACAUGACCUCAGUCUAUUCAAAACCAAUUCAUGUAUAUAUUUUUGUUGGCUUAUAACUCAUGACUACAUCCCAGUAGAGCCUAUUCCGUGUUUGUUUAAACCAUGUAGGAUCUAUAGCUUCCCUGGUGGACUAUGUAUAUCUCAUUAUCUAAGGAGCCUCUUCAUCUUUUCAUCCUAACUGGGGUUGAGAUAUUUCCCUAGCCCUAUUCAUCAUCACCUUUGGUGAACUCUCUUACUAUCCCGGUAGUCUAUGUCCCUCAGACCUACCAAGCUCAUUCAUUCUUGUGACUUAUCGUCCCAAUCAAAAUCAAGAACUCUACUUAAAUUCAUUGGCAUCCCUCUUGGGCUACAAACUUUCAAAUUGUGACCCCUAUGUUUUACGUCCUAGCUAAAUUCCCUGAGUUUACUGUCCUAAUGGAUUACCCCAUGUUUACUGUCCUGGCUAACUGACCUAUGUUUACUAUCCUGGCGGACUAUCCCUUAUUUACUGUCUCGGCAGACUACCUCGUGUUUAUUGUCCCGACUGGCUACCCCGUGUUUAUUGUCCCAACAAACUAUCUUGUGUUUACUGUUCUGACGGACUAUCCUGUGUUUAUUGUCUCGAUGGACAAUCUCGUGUUUACUGUCUCUAUGGACUACCUCGUGUUUAUUGUCCCAAUGGACUAUACUGGUUGUCAUAGCUGAGCUAUGAUCUUACACGUUAAACCUUUUUUUAAGGUGUCGCAUCGUAGGACCUUAUCGUUGACACGGUGUCACCCCAUAGAGCCUAUUGACCGCCAUUGUAGUGUUACUCUAUAGAACCUAAUAACUGUUGUCAUGGUGUUGUCCCGAAUGACCUAUUUCAUAUUUUACCUUGAUGCUUGAACACUGAAAUGUCCCCCUACAAGGCCUAGAGUUUUGCACAUCACAACUUGCACUCAACAACACCGUAUGGCGGUAUCUAACAAAAAUUCUCAUUCCUAAGUCCUAACUUCAUCUAUCACGUCAAUAUUUUCCGCUACACUAUGCAUACAUUACUCAAACAUAUCAUACAAUUUAUCAUUAAACAAAUAUCACUCCAGAAUAUCUAUUAGUAUUUAUCAUAAAACAAUCAGCAGUCAACUAGCAAAAGCUCAUACAACAUCAUUUAUCAUCCAAAGGCAAGGUACAUAAGUUCACAUUGUUCCUUAUUCUUGUCAACUUGGCUUAUCUAAAUCCCAAAGCCUCAUUUGUCCUAAUAGCUAAGCAUGACAACCAUUUAUCGGUUAAACUAUAGGUGUUAAACCCUUAAAACUCAAAAUCCAUCAUUAUACAGAAGCUUUUAGAAGUUCUUACUUUACUUCUUCCUUCAAUCCACGAGUACAGAGAGGUAAAAAAAGUUUACCAUUUACUAGUUCCUUAAUUUCUAUACUACCAGACUUUAAUGUAUCCGACUGCUAUGAUAUGCAAAUAUUCCUUCAACUACAUCCACUUAUUCUUUAGAGUGACUGAAGAAGAUGAUGUUAUGGAGAGAAAAAUGUGUAAACAAAAUUGAGAAAUCCGUCACCACACACCUCUCUAUAUAUAUAUAUUCCUAUGGCACGAUCUUCACUGAUUGUUACAACCAUUCAUCCUUAAUCAUUUUGUCUUCUACUAUCGAACCAGCCAGAUCCAUCAUGACCAAACUAGGAUUGCUAUCCAACUAAUGGUAUUUCGGCCACUAAGAUUUCUAAAUUUCUUAGCGAGGUUUGACAAUUUGAUCCUUUCAAUUUAAUUCUAACUUUUCCUAGAUUUUGGGUGAAUAAGAUACUCGAGUGUUACAAUGUAAUUGAAUGGACUAAACAUAUUUCUCCAAAGUUAUUUUACACUUAUAAAUGUUUGAAAAAACGUGACAUUGAUAUUUGUGAAAUUCGCUCAGGUGAUAACCCAACAAAUUUGUUUAUAAAAGCAUUGUCAACUUCAAAUUUCUAACAUGUACAUAACAUAGGGAUAGGAAUGCGUCGUCUUAAAGACAUUAAAUAAUUAUUUACUUUUGAAGGGGAAACCUUCUAUGAAUAUUAUCCUAUUUUUUCUUCACUAAUUUUUUUUUAUCAUUUUGGUUUUUUCUUAACAAAAUUUUAACGAGUUAUAUUCAUAAUGAAUAGUCAUCCAAUUAGAAGUGUAUAAGAUUAUACACUUAGACAUUAUUUGCAUGAAAUGGACGAUUAUAUACUUAGACAUUUAUGAGAUUCAUGUAUAUUAAUGGUACAUGAAUUGUGCAAAUUCAUUAUGCAUAAUCAUGUAUUGACUUAUUAAAUGUAUCUACCUAUUAAGGGUGUUCAAAUGAUCAGUUUGGUUAAUACCCGAAUAGAAUUAUCUAAAAUGUAAAAGUCUUUAACUGUUAACCGAACAUAAGUUUUUUUCAAAUACAUUAAUUGAGCUGAAAUAUUUCAGUUAAUUCCUGUCGAUUAACCAAACUAACCAAAAUUUAUAUGUUUUUAUCUUCUGGUUAAAAUAAGUAUAAAACAUACAAAAAAAAAACAUUGCUAAUGUUCAUUUUCUUUUAUUCAAUAGUUCAAAAAACUUUAAAUGGAGGUGAAAAGAACAUAUAAGACAUUAGAAAUACUAUAUAAGUCUUGAAAGUUAACAACAAAACACUACAUAAGUCUUGCAAACAACAAAUAUUUCGGUUAAUUGGUUAAUUCAGUUAAUUAUCCGGUUUCAAACCGAAUUAACCAAUAACCAAAAUUUCAAAAAUUCAUUAACCGACCUCCGAUCAAACUAAAUUCGACUACUGACCAAUUAAUCGAAUUAGAUCAAUUCAAUAAAUUAACUUAAUUUUAACCGAAUUAUGAAUACCCGUAUCACCUGUAUAUUGAAAGUUAGAAGUCUUAUACAGGACCCUUUCUGUAGCCUCUUAGUGAGGUGCGAUGCCUUUGUCUUUGUUGCUUUUUAAUUACUCUCACGCGUCAAGGGCUUAUUUUCAUUUCUCUUGCAUGACGAUAUGUGAUGUUUUGCUUAAAAGAAGAUAUAAUAAAUUAUUAACAACUUGAAAAACUAAAAUUGCCCGAGAAUAUAUUUGUUUUGAUAUUCUUUACUUUAUUUUUUAUUUAUAAAACUUUCAUAUUUUCAUAAUUCAUUUAUAAUAUAUUUAGAAUAAAUUAAUAGUAAUUUUUAUAUUUAAUAUAUAUAUUUUUAUAAUUCUCUAUAAUUUUUAAAUUUUCUACAAUACAUUCAUAUUUUUCAUAAUAUAUUUAUAAUACUCUAUAAUAUUUUUAAUUUUUCUAAUAUUUUAAUUUUUAUAUUUUUAUUGCUAUAAUAUUCCAAUAUUUUUAUCUAAAUAUUUUAAAAAAUAAUUAAAUCUGUAUAAAAUAAUUAAAAAAUCAAUUAAACAAUCUUAAAAUAACUAAAAAUAAUAAUUAAACCUUAAUAUAAAUUUUUUUUUCACAUCAAACAUAACGUGAAUCAUAAUGUUAGUAUUUUUCCCAUCAAUUGUCACUUUAGUCGUUACGACUUCGACCAAAAUCAUUAUUUCAAAAUUAAAUCAAUUUAAUUGAAUUUAGGAUUUAAAUGAGUAAAUUAAGUUAAUUUAUUUUUAAAUAUUUUAUAAGAACUGUUUUAACAUUUAAGCUUAAAAUAAAUUUUUAAAAAUCAUAUAGAAUUCGAACAUAAAAUUACAAAAUUCUCAAUAUUUUAAACUUAAGUUUUUUUUUACUAAAAUAUUAUGAAAAUAAUAUUAUUAUUUACCAAAAAUAUUAUGAUUUGAACAAUAACUUGAAAAUUUAUAUCCAAUUCAUCAUUAUUGGUGGUGAUUUGAGAGUUUUGAUAGAGAAUAUUGAUCUUAUUUGAUCUGUUAUUUUAGAAUUCUAAAUCGGCACCAUUUAUGAUAAUUUAUUAUUAUAUUUAUUAAUAUAUUAUUCAUUUUAUAUUAUUUUGAUAAAUAAAUUUAAACAUAUAUUAUUUAAGUAAAGAAUUUAGUUUUUAUAUAUUUAGAUGAAAAAAAACUCUUGCAGUACGUUUGGUUCACUGUAAUGAAAUAAGACUGUAAUUGAAUAGAGUUGUAAUCAGUAAUUCAACUGUUUGGUUGAAUGGAAUGGAAUAGAACUGUAAUAGUAUUCUUGUGUUUAGUUGAAUGGAAUGGUGUUGUAAUAGCAUAAGGUAAAAAACUAAAAAAACCAGAAUACUCUUAGCAAUUUUUUUAAAGCAGAUGAUUAUUGUUAUUGUUAUUAAAUUUUAACAAAGAUUAUUAUUAAAAAUAAUUUAAUAAAAAUAAUAAAUAAUUUAACCAUAUUUUAACAUAAUUAUUAUUAAUAUAAUUUUUAAUAAUAUGAAUUAAAAAAUCAUAAUAUAUAAUACUAUAAAAAUAAUAUAUAAUCCACUUUAUGAAUUUUAAACUGCAAUAUAUAUUUAAUAUGCUAAAAUAUCAUUAGUGAAAUAAAUAAUUUAAUUAUUCUACUAGGUUGAAAAGCUCUUUUAAUUAUUUGUCAUUUUGGUUUUCUUUGAAAAUUUCUUCAUUGAUCCUAGCCCAAGCCGUGUUUGAAGAUGCUUGUAAAGCUAAAAAAAGCCAUGUCUUUAAUGUAUUUUUAGGAAAACAAAAAGAAAACGACAUAUUUUUAUUAAUUACUUUUUCUCAUAAAAGCUAAUUAAAAUUUCAAUUUUUUUUACUCUCCUUCUUGUUAUUUCUUUUAUUUGAAUUUGACUUUAGUUUAAUUCUAUAUUUUAAUUUCAUAUUCAAAAGUGUGCCAAUCAUAUUCGAUAGCCCCUAUCUAAUCAUAUUCAUUUUCAAUCAUUUUUGUGUUUGAACUCAAUUUGUUCCUUUGUUUGAAUAAUGUUUUUAUUUGAACAAGGGAAAGUAAAAAGCAUGAAGUAUCCCGUACUAGAAGUAUAUAAUAACAUUUGUUUGAAUAACAUUUCUAUUUACUAUAGUUGUAAGACUAAAAGUAUAUAAUAAGCUACCAGACUACAAAAGAAGCUGCCCAUUUAAUGAAUCCAAACUACAUUACCAGGAAGAAAAAUCCUACAAACUCAACCUGCUUGCCUGCCUGUCCUUCCUACCUUGUACUUUGCUAUUGACAAUCUUAUUUCAAGGUUCAAUUACUAACAGAGGCUGCAAAGAUGACAAAAAAGAACGCCUGAGCAACAGAAAACUAAGACAAAAAGGACAAAAACAAUCAAAUUUACUUCAAAUCCACAAUUCAAUACCCAUCCAUCCAUCCAUAUACAUUAUUUGGAAUCAAGGUAGCAAAGAAUACUCACUGUAUCAACGUUGACUGCUUUGCCAUCUUUUACAAGGAUCUCGACUAUGGUUCCUAAUUGAUCAGCCUAUUGAAACAAUGAUUUUUCAUCUACAGUUAGCUACAUAAAGAGACAAUUUGACAAUUUCAAUAAACUAUGGAUGCAACAGAUCAACAUAUUGAUUAAGGGCUGUACAACAGAUUACAGUGAUACUGCAACUGCCAAGUGCAGUAAUUAUGGGCGGUAAUCGCUAAUUGGCCAAACAAACUAAAAUGCAGCUAUCAGGCUGGUUGAUGAGAAUGCUCCAAGAGGAAGAACUAAUAUGGAAUCUAUUUAAUACUAAGUCUCUUUAAGGUUAAAGUUUAAUCAAGCAAGCAUGAAUGUUCAAUAAAAAAAUGGAAAACUAACUGGCCAUUUAAUUGAAACCUGCAGCAGAGUAUCCUUAUAACCAAAAAGUACCAGUCAAGCUUGCUUAAGUUUCUAUUCAGCAUUGACCUUAGGGCCUUACACAUUCAAGAAUCCUAAAGAUCUGAGCCAACUACACGAAUCUUUUCCUUCCAUUUAGCCUCUGUUAAAGCAUUCUCUUGUCCCACACUUAAAUUUCAUUUCUUUUUUAUCUAGAUAUUAAAAAUCAUUUUUCAACAGAAAGCAUCUAAACCAUGCUUAUGACUAAAUUCAUUAAAGCAUCCUUUCUCCCAGUUUAUAUAUGAUUGCAUCAACUUUAAUUUUUUUUUUCUUUAAAGUCAUUCUCAUUCUAUCUUUUUUUUGGGGUAUUUUUGCUUAUAUCCGUUUCAAUGUUUCCAUUUGGAUCACAAGCUACGUGUGCACAUUUUCUCCACCUAAACACAAAAGGCACUGUUACUAUUAAUCUAAAGAAAGUAUUUAACCAAUUUGUAGUACUAACCAAUGGUUUUUCGUAGUACUAAACGUUUCCUCUAUGAAUUUUAAAACACCUAAAGCAGAGACCAAACCUGAAAUCUAUGCCUUUCACAAAGUGGUCUCUGCACAAACUGAUUCCUCUACUAACAAUGGGGAAACUUUCUUCUAAUGGAUCUAAAAUUUUAAUGUUCUCACCCCAUUUCACAAGCCUGUCCAAAAAUUCUGCUGCAAUACUUUCCUGUCAAACAAAUAACAAGCUUUGCCUCGUCAUGAAUUGGAAAUAGAAAAAAAAUAUAACAAAAUCGACGAAGACAUGCUACAGGCAUAGUUCAAGAACUCGUGGUAGCAGAAUCUUUCCCUUUUUGGAUCUAAUGUGUGACUUUGACUUGAAUCAUAAUAACAGUAAUUUUCAUCCAACCACGUUCCCAUACAAGAAGAGUUUUGAAGUUAUGAGUGAGGAGAAAUAUAAUCCUAUUUUAGGAGCUUAUCAUAAAAAAAGAAAAGGUACCCUUUAGGGAGAUGAAGAUGAAGGGCGAAUGCACCCUUGAUUUAGGGAUAAAUGUUGGAAGAAAUCUAGAGUAGAAAUUUGGGGAGAAGAAAGCAGGCUAUUUUGAGGAUAAAUUUUAGGCGUGUGGUGUUGAAUAACAAUUCAAAGGCCCCGCCCGUGAAUACUUAUUACAACAACUGAGGGAAUAUAAGUAUAAUAGCAAAGCUGUAAAAUUACCUAAACGAUGAACCAAACUUGAAAAUUACUAUAACAGGCGGAAUAGGGCAGAAAUAAAAUUGCAAUUCCAUCCAACCAAGCCGUUGAACUUAUCCUUCACUAAAAUCACAAAAUUCUUAACCACUCGGCAUUUAAUUUUAAUCAAGGUGUUAUCUUAAAGAAAAAGGAGAAUUCAAGGUGUCAUUGACAUAUUUUAAUUUUAUUUCUCUUUUAAAGUGAGAGAUUAGCUAGAUUCGAGGCAAUGCACAAAAGUUUUGGCCUGACGUGAGGAUGCACGCCUCCACAUAUAUCUAAUUGUACAGAAUUAUUUAUAAAACUAAUAAAAACUACGAAAUUACAAAAAGAACCCAGAAGAAAAAAAUCUCCCUAAUAUCUUCACUUUUUCUACUUCCGUUGAACAGUCGUAAACAAAUCGAGUCUCCAUCUUUCUUUCUUCACUAACAAAUUUAACCAGUUUUUUGGGAGUUAAAUAGCUUGAAAUCGAUGGCAGGAAUGAGAUUGUCGCCGGAAGAGUCUACGGAAGCUAACCAACAUCUUCAGCUUCCGCAGCAACAGCUGCAGACCGGUCGAGAAGCGGCUUCCGAUGACGACAGGUCGGUGGCUGCAGAUUCAUGGUCUAUAAAGAGCGAUUACGGAAGCACACUUGAUGAUGAGCAGCGCCACGCUGAUGCCGCCGAAGCCCUGUCCUCCGCUGCCAACUUCCGUCCCGCCUCUGAUUACAGGUUUCUCUUUUAGUUAUUCUAUUUGUCUUCCGGUUUUGCCUUUUUUUUUAAAUAUUAAUCUUUGGCUAGUUUUUGAGUUUGAUAGUCCAUAAACAAGUGCUUUCGAGUUGUAGAAAGUGAAUUCGGUGCUUACUUUCUUACUUUUAUUUAUUUAUUUAUAUAUGUACAUGUAUGUAUUUUUUAGGAGUGAAUUUUAAGCUUGAGAUUUGAUCUAUUGACAAUUUAAAAUUUCUUUGCGAGAAGAUGAAAUGAAUAUUUAAUUAUCUUGGUUUAACUUUCUUAGUUUGACUUUUGGAUUGGAAAAUUUCAUAGUUUAUUUGACCUUAAUUAUUGCUUGUAUUAGUGUGAUUUUUAUAUUAUUUCAAAAAAUUAUACGUGGAUCAGUGCUAUGGAAAUGAAAAGAAAAGUUAUUGAUAUGAUCAAUCUAUAGAAAUUUUAGUUCUAUACAACCAAAAGGUUAAGAGUUCUACAUUUCAAUAUAUAAUUAUUUAUCGUUAUAGAUAAAUGCAAUCAAGAAACAAGUUCUUUUAUUCUAGUAUGGUUCUUUUGCCUUUUUCUUUCCCCAGCUAUAAAGCAAUAGGGAAUACUACAAAGAAAAAUCAUAUAUGAUGGAAAUGUGCUGAUGAGUAUAACGGAAUACCAAUUCAAACAUAUUUGUUCCAUGCAAAUGUAAAAGAAAUUAUGGAUUUUGUUCUCUAUGUAAUUUCAUUUUUAAUCGUUCAAGAAUAUUAUUUCCUUUUAUAUCCCAAAACACGUUAUACUUUUUAUGGCAAGUAGGAAAGUUGACAAUGAAAUGGGGGCUUAUUAGUUAAAUUUUCAGGAUUUGGUUUUGAUAGGUGGAAUUAUAGGACAAUAUUAUUUUAACCCAUUGCUAAAGAAGUUGAAUAGUUUAUAUUAAUCAUUGCCUGUAUGAUUUUUAUUGUACGUACAGUUCCGACAAGGACGAACCAGAUGCAGAGACAUCAAUGCUUGGUCUUCAGAGUUACUGGGAUGCUGCAUAUCUUGAUGAGCUUGCCAAUUUUCGUGAACAUGGUCACGUUGGUGAAAUUUGGUUAGCAUUACCUUAACUAUGUUAAUUUGCCUUCAAGCUGGGCAUUAUAUUUGUACUAAUAGCCAAAAUGUUUUUAUCAGUUAUCACAUAAGCAUGUAAUCUGUGUGUAUAAAUAUAUUAAAUGGAAUUUAAUUUGACAUGCAUUUUCAUGGUUGCCCCAAUGACCCUUUGACUUGAUACCUUCUUUGAGUUGGUAUCUGUGCCUAGUUUAAUAACUUUUCUUAUAGCAAAAGGAUUGUAAAACUUUUAUUUGUGCUAAUUUAAUUUCAAAACUUGUAGUUAAUCUCUUCACUGUUUUACCUCUCUUUCCAUAGGUUUGGAACUGAUGUCAUGGAUACUGUUAUUUCUUGGACCAAAAGUUUGUGUACUGAUGUGUCUCAAGGUCACAUCCCGAAUCAUGUUGGAGAGCCCAAGCCGCAGUCUGUUGAACACGAUGAAAAGUAUUUGUCUUGCUGGAGUGUACUUGACAUUGGCACGGGAAAUGGUCUGCUCCUUCAGGAGCUUUCUAAGCAGGGGUAUAAUCUAAGACUUUGCCUGUAGCUCUGGUAUUUUAUGCUACUAAUAUCAGUUCAAGUAAAAUAAUUUGUGGUCUUUAAGUGAAACAAUCAGUUUGCUUGCAUAUUGUUAUUGCUAUUGCUCUACUGGUAUUUUAUAAGACAUAUUUUUGCUAGUGUCAUAACAUGAGCAGAUAAGAGGUGCUCUUAGUCUUAUGAUCUUCAAUUUAGGUUGGCCUUGGCCAAAAUAUUAUAAGUGAUAAUGGAUAUGAAUGAAUAUUUCCUGAAGAAAAGGACUCAGUUUUACCUAAAGAUGGACAAAGUUUUAUUAUGAUUGUGAAACAAUAUAGAUAUAUAAAGAAACCCUGGUAGGUAACUAAUAUUUGAAUAGGGCAAUGUAGCCAUCCUGCCUGUAUAACUUGAUAAAUGAACCAUUUAAAUAACUAGAGAACAUUUUUCCUGUUUAUAAUUGCUUGUAUAUAUUUGAGGCUUAAUUGCAAAAGGUGUCCCAAACAAUGGGCCAAAUUCUAAAUUGAUCCCUAAACUUCAAAAUAUUCACAUUGAAUCCUCAAACUAAAGUAUCGUUUUAAUCAGGUCCUUCAAUGAGUCUAGUUAUCAGCAUUGGAAUUAAAUGUGAAAUUGGACCUGCCAUGGUUCUUUUAUUUUUUUUGGAACAUGUAUGGGUUAAUAAAUAUUCUUUGACUAUUUCUGUUAUUCCAUUGUGUAUCACUUCAGUGUUGGUUAAUCUAUAUAGUUGUAGUUGAACUAAAUGGAUUUAAAUAAUACAUUUAGGCAUUGGGUAAACUUUCUGAAAAAUUUAUAGGUGAAUAAACAAAAUUUUCUUUUUAUUAUUGCUUUGAUGGUAAUGGUCAGGUGAAUUUGCUGCACUUCUUAAUUCAGGUUCACAGAUUUAACUGGAACUGAUUAUAGUGAAGGAGCAAUUGACCUUGCUCGAAGCCUAGCUGAUCGAGAUGGAUUUUCAAACAUCAAGUUUCUGGUAUGGAUGGAAUUCUAUGAAAUCUAACUGAAUCUAAGUACAGGCUGUUUUUGUUCACCCUUUAAAAGAAAUUAGUAUUAUCAUGUUCUAUGAAUUGAAGUGCUUAUCUCUGAUUUGAAAUGAAUUGCUGUAUGGUUUCUUUAUGUGUGCAUUUUUUUAUUCCCAUUCUUUGUAUAUUUAUUUACACUUGCUUAUACAUCACAUUGUCUUGGUUCUUACUUUUGAUUCUUGUUUAAUCUUUAGAUCUUCCCCAUCCAAUUGUCUUAGAUCAGAUGACAAGUUUGCUUUUAUUGCAUCUAUUACUGAGAAACCAUUGAACCCAUAGGCAAUUUGCUUACCUUGCACUUAUCAACCAUUCUUAUUUUUAGAUAUUUGUUUGAUCUUUAAAACUUUCUCAACCUCUUGAGGGGUGCUAUAAACCAAAAUAUAACGGCUUGGGGAAGUUAGGGCCUUCUAUGCAGUCCAAAAUACAAAUUUAAGAUCCAUUUGUGAAGAAAACCGGAUAUUGAGACUUUGAACACCUGUCUGAGAGAUUAGGAUGGAGAUGUAGGUUUCUUAUGAAGAAACAGGAGCAUUCAAAACAUUCUGGGUUGAAAUUGAAUUCCUACAUAAUUGAUCACUCUCUUAAUGCUCAACUGUUCUCAAAGCACCUUGACCGUUGCUAUUUCAUUUGGUCCUUAGGUUGAUGAUAUUCUUGAGACAAAGUUGGAUAGACAGUUUCAACUUGUCAUGGAUAAGGGGACUCUCGAUGCCAUUGGCUUGCAUCCUGAUGGGCCUAUCAAAAGGUAAUAGUGAUUUCAUCUCUACUAAAGUAUCUCCCUUCAUAUGCUGUUUCCUCAGUACAGUGAUAUAUAUAACAAAUAACUGAUUAUCAGGAAGUUCACAUCCAUGCAAGUAGAAUCUCAUGAAUUGAAUCGUACAAUUUGCACUUAUGUAUAUGAUAUGCAUUAGUUUGGAUCUUUUUUAGUAGCUCUAGCUUCUACAGUUGUUAUCACUUUCUACUUGAUCACCUUUUAAGAUUUUCUUGAACUUUUUCGUUUCAGGAUUAUGUAUUGGGAUUCAGUUUCAAAGUUGUUGGCCCCCGGUGGAAUAUUAGUAAGCACCUUACAGGCUUGUUUAUGGUUUUAUUUUAUUUCAUCAAAACUUCUGUGGUGAAAUGAGAUCCAUUGCAAUCAAAGCUCGAGCUUGAGUAGUACCUCUUUUUAUAUAUACACGCACAUAUACACAUGCCCACUCACAUUCCAAUUGUGUACAUAUACAAAUAAAAGUCAAAAUUCCAAUUGCGCUCACUAGUUUUGCUCAAGCCAAGGUUUCGUCUCCAGCUUUCUUGACUACUUGGAUAAGUUCAAAUAUUCUUAAAUUCAAUCCUUAGUAUAGCUUUGACAAGGCUAGUAUCUCAGUGUGAGAAUUGAAUUUAAAUGAAUUUACAGUACCGCCUAUGUUACUGGGCCUUAUAUAUGUCUUAUGCAAGUAUGUGUCUGAGCCGGGUAUCUUCAAUUCUUUUUCUAGGUUAUUCUGAGUUUGGAGGGUCAUUUCUUUCUCGUACUCUUAUCCAAAAAUGUGUUAGAUAUGAGUACUUAAAGAAAAAUGAAGAGUUGGAGCAACAUGUAUUACUCUUUGUAGAUUGAGCAAUUUUAUUUUUAAUGAUGUUUGUAGGUGAUUACAUCUUGCAACCAUACAAAAGAUGAAUUGGUCCAAGAGGUGGAAAAUUUCAAUCAAAGGAACAUUGCAAUAUCCCAGGAGCCAAGUGCAACGAAGGACCAAGAGACACACAGAGAUCAUCCCCCGUUUCGAUAUCUGAAUCAUGUUCGGACUUAUCCUACAUUCAUGUUUGGUGGAUCUGUGGGAUCACGUGUUGCCACUGUUGCGUUUCUAAGGAACUAAAUUCAAAGCUUCGGUCUUUUGUCAUGAACGGACUUCACUUUUUUGGAUUGUCGUGGUUGAAAAUGGUUAAGGAUCAUGCAUGCUGAUUGGGACUGGAUAGAUAGACGUUUGAAACUUUUAUUUAUCGGAUUCUUGAUUAUGUUUUAUUUCCAUGAAAGAUACUGGUGUAGCUUGUGGUGGGAUUAUCCUAGGCAAUUGUGUACCAUACGUGGUGUAAGGGUUAUGCAAUUGAUUACCAAUCAUGCCUGCCUUUUGAGUUUUGAUUCCAUGUGCUUCUGUUGCUUGUUUAGUUUCUUGACCGGUAGAGUGAUAACAGGAAAUUUGAGACAAUCCAAUAUAUAUUGCAAAAUUAAGGUGUUUCAUUAAUUUGUUUUCCUUGUAUUCUUGUCUGAUUCGAAUCUUGAAUCUUCAAUUUUGAAUUUUGAACGUCCACAAGCGUUUGAGGGGGAGGAAAUCCCAUAUGGAUAGCAAAGGAUUGAACUCCGUUUUCUAUGGAAAAAACUGGUACAGAAACAUGAUGAAAUAAAAAAGAAGAUAAAACUCACAUUAAAUGCACAUGUUGCAUAAAAUUACCUCAAUUAAUUUUGAAGUAAAAUAGAUUUUUUUAUUUAAUACAUUAUAUGCACAUGUUGCAUAAAAUUUUAAAUUUUAUUUGAUAAAAUGCAAAAUUAUUUAAUACGUCUCACUAAACUGUUUUUAUAAAAUUUAUUUAUUUUAUUGAUUAUUACAGAAAUUGAAACUUUUAAAAUUUUAUUUUAGGCAUUUAGCUAGUAAAAUAAUAUCAUCUCUCAUUUGUCAUUUCUUAGGUAAAAAAAACUAGACUUGGAGAAGCGAGCUUAAUGGUUAAAAUUUUUCCUUUAAUCAAAAUGAUAAGGGAACGAAAGAAGAAAAAAAGCAUUUUUAUUGAAAUAUAUUAUUUGUUACGGUUUAAAAGCAAAUUUAAUCAAAAUGAUAAUUAAAAGAAAGUAUGGUACAAUUGCUAUAAAAGUAUUUUUCCAAGUAUGAUUUAAUAAACAAAAUGCAAUAUAAUAGACUAAAUGUUAUAUUUGAAAUUUUGUUUGAAAAAUAUAUUAGAUAAUCAUUCUUUCGUUUUAGUUUACUAAAAUAAAUUGAAGUGAUUAUGUAUGCAAGAAAAUUUAAGGGAAAUUUAAAGAAUUAGUAUUGAAAUUACUUUCUAUAUUCCUAAAUCCUGACAGGCUGAGAAUAUAAAAUUAAUUUGAAAUUUAAUUAUGAGAAUCCCAAGAAAAUUAAUUUGCUUGAACCAAACAUACCCUAGAAGUUAAAACAUGUGUAAAACUAAGAUUUGUAUAUGGUUUACAUAAUUUAACAAAUCAACAUUCAUAAAUUAGCAAUAUAAUUGUUUUGAUCACACAACACGAAACAAUAACCAAAGCAUAAAUAAGAACACACUACUCGAAAACAAGAGUUGAGAGGUAUAUUUUUUGAAGACAUAGUAAGAUACUGAACUGAAAUCUACAACACUUAAGACACAAGAAGCAAUUUAAGGUUAUACAGUAUCAAGUUCUUUGCCAAGCUUGCCACCAAGCUUGCCACAUGCAAGUUUUGCAUCUCUUCAGUUGGAAAAGAAGGGAAGAGAAAAUGAUAAUAGAUAAACUAGCAAGACCAGAGGGAUGAAAGAGGCUUCCCUUUCUGACAAGUCACGACAUGUUCCAAUACGAUCUCCUCCACUUGUUUUUCCACAUCUUCUAUGCACUGGGAAGCAUCUAUCAUCUGCAAUCGUCGCAUGACAUUUUAAAACAAGCAUCAUUUUGCUAGCCAUUGUUCAAACCCCAAUAGAACCCAUCAAAGCAAAACUGGUUUUUCCGGUUUCUAGCCAUUUCAUUAGUUUUUCAGUUCAACCUAUAUGAUUGAACUGCCAGACCAACCAGUUCCCUGUUCAAUAGGUUGGUCCAGUCCUGUCUUUUAAUUACUUCAACUAACCAUGGCAUCUUGUUGCUAUUGCUAUAUGGCAUGAGAUGAAAUAAAGUAUUACCUUCCAUGAAGAAUCUUCAAGAAGCUUAUAGUGUUGUGCAACUUUCUUCUGAAACUCGAGCUGCUCGUAUCUCUCACCUCCGUAGCCUCCUCUUUCUGCAGCUUUCUAAUAAAUAUGAAACAAUAUUUUCAGUUUACAUAUAAUAUUUUCUGAAGUUUUCACCAGCUUUAACAUAACUAACCUCGGGCGGUAUAUCAAGGUACACUACCAGAUCUGGAGCUAUUAGCCCAUUCUCUGGUGCCUGUAAGAAAAGACCUUAGUUGUUGUCAACGACCAUGGUAAGCAAUAACUUAAUAUGUGAGAAGCAGCUAGUUCUUUUGGCAGUUUGCCUUUACCUUACACCAUUCGAAAUCAAGUCCUUUAGCAGAUGAGAAAGCGACUCCAGAAUAAGAGUAACGGUCUACUAUAAGGGUGGUUCCAGCUUUCAGUUUUGCUUCCAUCAUUGAUCUGCAAACAAAUAGUAGAUUUAGGACUUCAUCUUAUACUGCAAAUAAUUAUCGAACAUAUGCACAUGCAGAUACUGGAUUCAUUUAGGGUAUUCUUGGUGAAGUGGAAAAGUAUCAAGAAAGCAAUGGUAGAUUGGAAAAGUUGAAAGAAAAUAAAUUUCAAGUGUGCUUGGUAGGAAAAAGAAGUGAGAGGAAAUCAGAAACGAAAGACAACUAUCUUCCAUCACAAUGCACAGAAACAAAAAUUAUUCCGAUUUGGAAUAAUAAGAGGAGAGAGAACGGAAUAGAUACAAAUCAAAUAUGAAUAUUUACAAUAUUUGCAUUUUUAAAAAUUUUAUUUUCUUUUCUCUCAGUUUUCAUUUCUGUCAAACAAUUGAUAUGUACCAAAUUGCAAGUUAUGAGACUUGAAUCCCAUAUAGGGAAGUAUGGGAUUUCUUUGUGAGGAUGCUCAACAACUAGUUUUUGGAGUGUGGUUCUCCAAAGGUCCAUCAAUUGGUACCAAAGCCAGCCAUCAUGUCUCUCAAUUGCAGUUGUGCAGCUCUAAUGGUGACAUUGAUAUUGCAGUGUUCUGCCAGGGCUAUAUUAAGUUAGCAGAAUGCCAACCCGUGUGCCAACCAAAACUGCAGAACAUGGUGGACUAUCAUGAGCCUAUUGCUCGGAAUUGGACUUAGAUCUCACAUAGGAAAGUAUGAGAUUUCCUUUUGGGAUUUAUAUAGACCUAGAUUCUCCAACCUCAACUGCUAGCUUUUGUAGUGUGGUAGUUCGAAGGUCCAUAUCAGCAAUGGAUGGAAAUAAUUUUUCUUCUUUCUACUUUUUUCCUCUUCUAACUUUUCAUUUUGCUUACCUGCAAAGUCUUAAUGCUAUUUCAAAACGAGCAUAGGAACAUACAAGUGGUCCAUAUGCAUAACACAUACCAAGAAUUAAAGUCAGACAUAGAAAUAUGCUGGUAGAAGAAGUAAUGCCAUGCAUCAUAUUCCAAUAAGAUCGUUUAAAACAUGUCAUCAGAUUAGAUUGUCUGACUUGCUUAAAAGCCUAGAAAGUUUUUGUAAUUCAUCGGAUAAAUAUUCAAAUAAGAUCGUUUAUUCAGACUACUCUAUUCCAGAAGUGCUACUUUGUCAACUAACGCAAAUAUUGGCCCACUUGUCCUCCUUGCAGUGUGACUAAUCAAGAACACAUGAACAUAGUCAAUGGAUUGUCUAAAUCCAUGUUUUGGUGAAGUUGCUCACAUUCACAAACUUAAAAAGUGUAUAAUUCUAUGCUAUGUUGCUCCAACUCUUUAUUUGUUUCUAUAUACCCAUGCCUAACACAAAUGUCCAAUACAUACUUGGACUAUGGGAAUAUGAUCCUUUGAGGAAUCGUCAAACACAAGAAAGUCUAAGAAAAAAUUGAACAUGACCAUGUUGGAUACAUACCAAGGCCCAGCACUUACACCUAAGUCCAUGUGGCAUUAGCUUAUAAGUGCAACAUCAAGCAAACAAAGAUGCUUGUAAGCCCCUGCAACAAUCAAUUUACUCAAAGGUAUGACGGCUGAUAAAUACAAAAGGUGCUAAGACAAUUGUAUCAUACAAGGUGCAAGGCAAUUAUAAAGCACUCACCUCAAUAAUGCAAUGGACUUGCAAAUGAAAACAAUCAUAUAACAUCCACAUUAUACCAAAUGGCCUUUGCGAUAUAUCUUUUCGGAUCAUAAACAUUAGAAAGUUAAAUUCAUUUCCAGUCUAAUGUAUAAAGCUAAACGUUGGUACAAAAUUAGCAUUUUUAUUUUCCUUAACUUCCAUCUUGACUAGAUUAAUUAAAUUCAUUUCCAGUCUAAUGUAUAAAGCUAAACGGUGGUAUAAAAUUAGCAUUUUUAGUUCCCUUAACUUCCAUCUUGACUAGAUUAAUAAUCUUCUAUAUUCCUCCAGUCUCUAAAAGGGUACAAUACCUUCAUAAAGUGUACCCCUUUUUAAAGAGGCUUUUGCUUGUUUGUGCCUUUCCUAGGCGCUUACGCAUUGCCUUGACAAUACAUGCACUGUCACGUCAUUCAAUAUUGUGACUGCAUAUGACAUACAACUUUAACAUUAAAUGAAGGUCCAAUAUAGAGAAGUAACACCAUUUUGAUCCAAGAUGAUACUUCGCCAUGUACUUGGCUGUGAAAAGAACGCAAAUGCCAAAUCCAAGAAGACAAACGCAAAGUCGGAGCAGCGGUAGGUAAAAGGAUCAUCCUUUCGCGAUGAUAGCAAUGAUAGCAAAGAAACAAGCUCCAACAUAAAUAACCAAAUCAGACGCUAAAACCUCAAAGAUUGCAAAACUUGUUGACAAAUGCAGUAUUGCAAAUCCGAGAAGAAGACCAAGAUAUGAGCACAAGGAGAUGGGAGAUGGGUCAGUGCAGCUUAAAGGAUUUUUCCUCCCACCAAUAUGGCUAACAAAAGUUCAAAUUAAAAGAAUUAAACCACAAACUGAAGAACUUCAUAGAUUAUGAACUUUGUUGAGAAUGUCAUAAGCUAUGUUACUCAGACUCGGUAUAACCACUGAAUACAUGUACAUGUUUGACACAGCCGCAUCAGGUACCACCUUACAAGAUCAAAUCACCAUAACCUUAUAAAAAAUGUGUCAGAAAUGGGAACCACAAGAAAUGUAAUGAGUCCGAGGAACAUGGUAAGGACGACAUACCUAUCAAGAACUACAAAAGAUUCACUACAGCAUGUGAUACAAGUAUUUCCUAGUAGCAAACUUUUUCUAGGGAAGAAAUCAAUGCAAAGCAUAAAUGUGAAAACAAACCUCUUCUCCCACCGAUUUGCACUGAAAAGUAGAUGGAUUGUGUGGUCAUCCAACUGGGAUUUAUUAGUCAGAUAUGCCGAUAUCAUCUGCCCAACGCUUGUAGUUCUGUCGGGGAAUCGCCAUAACUCGACUGAAUGCCCCAUACCCUCUAAAUACGAAAGCAGCUUCCCACAUUGUGAAGUUUUACCACUACGAUCCAAUCCUUCAAAAACUACCAAGGCACCUCUAGAUUCAUUGCUUGCACCCAUCAGGUUACAAUUAUUACCAUUCUCCAUUCUAAUUGACCUAACUGAACGCUUGCAAGAAAUAUUCAAUCCCAAAUUCAAUGACCUCCUCACGGCCAAAACUCCAAAAUUCCUGGAACCCAACUAGUGAUAAGAUUAAAAUCUCAAAUAAAAGUGAGUUUUUAUUACAAUUUAAGAGCGUCUUUAUUUACUGUUCCAUUUGCGGGAAAGUGAAGAAAGAACAAUUUUUUCAAGGAUCGAGUUUCACAAUGUUUAUUUAUUUAUUUUUUUGAAAAAAUUGAACUUUCACCUUGUGCAGACAAAUAUGGAGUGAAAGAAAUAGAAAAAGAAAAUGUAAAAAAAAAAAUACUUACAGACUUGGAAACUCUAAAAGUGCAGGCAUGUGUCAUGCCUGCAAUCAACAAAAUUACAAACAAAUUGAAGAAUUAAGCAAUGGAAUCUAAUAGUUUGAAGCUUCAUUUAAAAGGAAAAAAAAAAUACUAACUUGAGUAGCUCGUGAAACUUGAGCUCAAACACAAAAAAUGAAGCUUGAAGUUGAGCAUACAAUUCAAGUUCGUUUUUACCAAGUAAACAAACCUAACCAAGCAAUUCAGUAUUUUUUCUCAAGUUGAACUUGAGCCGAACCUCGAGCUUCGAGUUUCAGGUCAAGCUCGGUCUGGUUAGACUUAGACCCCUAAGCCCCUCUCCCUUUCCAUUGUCUUUUUCAGUCUCAAACUUUCUCAGUUCCUCAAUCUCUCAUUCAUUCAUUUGCCUAUCAAUACUUAUAUUAGUUUCACACACUUUCAUAACUUCAUAUAUAAUUAUAUUUUAACAAUUUCACUAUUGUAUAUAAUAAUCUAUUCAUAUAAAUCAUUAUAUAUAUAUAUAUAUUAUAUUUUGAGUACAUUGAAAAUAUAUAACCAUCUAAAAAUAUAUAUUAAUAAAAGAUCAUAUUCUCUAUUAAAAUGUCAGGAAUAAUGGAUCAAUUCAAAAUUUAACAUGCACACUGAGCUUAUUUUGUCUAAUUCAACAAUUAGAUUGCUAAUAUUAAUAGUAUACAAAGUUUAAAAAAUGUAUAAAAUUAAUAAAAUUUUACAUGUAUCUCUCCUUAUAAAUAUUAUAUGCGGGACACUAUGCUCACUAUACCAAUUAAUUUUUAAAUUCAAACUGUUUACAAAUCCACCUUACCUCAAUGAAAAUUAAAAUGUAACAGCUGAAAAAAAAAAAAAAAACUCAACACAAAGAAAUGAUCUCAUUUUUUGAAAAAAAAAUAAUAAGAGAGGAAAAUUAAUGCAGAAAUAUCACACAAAUUCAUACAAAAAUAUCACACAUGAGAUUACGGAACAAAGAUCCAUAAAAAAAAAAACCCAGAAAUUUUGAAGAAAAAAGAGUACCUACCUGAGAUGAAAUGCAGCCAUUAGAGAGAAAAAGAAAAACAGAAAACGAGAGGGUUUUGAUGGGGAAAACUAUGGAGACUUUAUAAAAAGCGAAACCAUUGCCCGCGCAAGACAAAAAGACCAAAUUACCCUCUUUGACCCAAUUGGCCAAUUCUCUCGCUCCUUUGUGUCCUCGUUUCUUUCUCGAAAAAUUCCUCUAGGGUUUUUAAAAAUGGCAAAUAACAGCAAUAAAGAAGAACCAAACACUGCUCCAAAGCCUAAUCAUUGGUACAAUAUAAGUUUGGGGUCUUCUUUCAAAGAUCAACAACAACCUUCCUCCAAAUUCUGCACUUUACGAUGUAAGUUCUCGUUGUUGCUCUUAAUUUUUUUUCUCAGGGUUCUGUUUGGUUUCCUAGAAAACGAAGAAAAAGAUAAGACUAUUGAUGAAUAUUCGAUAUUAUUUUCUUUUUCUAGUUUGGUGUUUGAUUAACACUCUAAAAGAGGAAUUUGAUUAGUGUUGUAUAUUCAUGUUCUGCUAUAUCCAGAAUUGCAAAUCAUUGAGAUUUAAGCUUCAAUUUUCGUUUUGUGUUUCGCGAUCCUUUAAUAUAUAAUUAAAAGGAAAAGUAGUCAUUCAAUCCAUUGAAUUGGAAUAUCGUUGAUUGUCAUCUCCAGCAGUGAAUCUCCAACUUUGAGAUUUCAGGUUUGGUGUUUGUGAGAUUAGUACUUUCUCCAUUAGCUAGGAAUUAUACUUCUAGGCUAUGUUACUUGGUCUAAGGUGUGUGCCGGAUGCGAGUAUGUAUCUUUCACUGAUACCGUUAAAUUUUCAAGUUUCUAUGCCUUUCUACUGUUCUAUCCCAUACCUAUAUUCAAUAUGGGGGUGUAUCUGGCAUGGAUAUGGUGAGCUUUUUCUAUUUUCCAUGUAUUUGGAAUGUUAUAUCCCAUACCGAUAUUUCAAAUCUGAGGCAUCACAUCUUUUGUUUGAUUUUGUUCCAGAUGAAUUUAAACCAGCAUCAAUUGAUAAAAGUCAACCAGGAUUACUCCACAAGGCAAAGGAUAAUCGAGUUAAAGUAGAAUUUGAAAACAAUCAGCAUGGAAAACCCAAGGUGACAUUUGAGGGUGCCAGUGAAGAUUACAAGGAUAAUGAUGCGGUUUUGUUCUUCAACGGUGAGGCAUUCCGGUUGGAGCGUUUACACCGAGCUGUGAAGCGGUUGAGGCAUGUUCGGCAGCCUGGCGAAUCUGCAUCCAUGGUUAUGUCAGCCGGCCCUGCUAUGGAGUCUUAUUCACCUCCACCUCCUAAAGGAGUGAAGCCAGAAUCGUCGAACAAAGUCCCGGUUCCAUCGUUGCCUGUGAGUUUACUUUACCCUGCAAUCUUAUGCAUCUUUUGAGGCGUUGCUGUUUUUAGCAAGAUCUAUAAUUAUAUUUUCUAUUUGUUGUGUUCUCGAUGUGGUUUACAGCUUCAGGUGGAGCGCAUCAAUACAUCUGACUUCACGAGCAGAGGUGAGGUUCUUUUUUGUUUAUGAGAUGCUAACAUAGUUAAGAUAGGCCUUCAUUGUCAUGAUUUUACUGGUUUAUUUGAAUUGUCAGUUGAAACUUAAACCAUCCUAAUGGAAGCCUAAUUAAAGGAGAUAGUUUCUUCUAUCGGAAAGAAGGUACCUGGCUAGGGUAGGAAGUUUCUCGUGCUUAAUGUCUUGAGUGAAAGAAUAGUUUGCUCUUUCUUUUAUCAUAUAUUCUAGCUUGAUGAACUUUAUAAAGUCUUUCUUGAACAAAGAACGCACUUUCGGGACAUCUAAGGAAAGGUAGCGUUUACUGUCUGUCAUUGUCGAUUAAGCCUUCCUAGUGAAAGCCUGAUUCGUAUUAAACCUUCUGUCGGAAAUAAGGUACCCGGCUAGGUUAGGAAGUUUCUUGUGUUUUUGUGUUUUUCUCAAAAGAAUAGGCACUCUCGAGACAUCUAAGGGAGGGUAGCAUUUACCGUACAUUGUUGAAAGCCCUUUUUGGAAUCCCUUCUGCUAGAUGUACUAAGAAUUGAAUAAAAGACAAUUAUCUUUGCUCAUUGACAAAAUCAUCUGGGCACCUGAAUUUUCGCAGAUACAUUAGCAACUUUGUAUUUGAAGAAUUUGUUGUUUUUAGUCAAUUUAUUAUUUAAACCAUGCAAAUUACUUUCAUUGCUCAUAUUGCAGAAUCCAGAAAGGAGAACUCCGAGUUCCCUACGUCAAUUCCAAAUCAACCAACUGCAUCACCAGAUCCUAAAAAUUACGAAUCAGAAGAACAGGUGGAUAUUGUCAAUGACGACGAUGAUAAUGAUGGUUUGGGGGCAGUUAAAGAAGAUGAUGCUUCCGAGAAGGUUUCAACUGGUUUCAAUUUUGAGUUACCACAUCAAAAGGACAUGGAUGAUGAGAUCGCGGAUGUAGAUCUAAGUGAUGAUGAAGAAAAAGCAGGAGGGAAUGCAGCUGAAGCUCUUCGAGCUCAGGUCAAUGCAGAAGAGAACGAAGAACAUACUUCGAGCUCGAGCAGUAGCAGCGGAAGUGAGAGUAGUGGUAGUGGUAGCGGGAGUGGAAGCGGGAGCGAGAGCAGUAGUGAUAGUGAAAGCAAUAAUGAUGGGGAUUCAGUCAUCUCUGUUUAAGUGGUUAAACCUAGUAAUUGUUUUACACUAUGCUACUCGAAUUGGGGGUGAGUAUUGAAAACAGGUAUGUUUUCUUAUAUGGGUAUACUCAAAUUUUUUUUAAAGUUCCUUCUUAUGUUUGGUGAAUCACGCCUCAUAUUUGUCAUAUACAGGUGCCAUACAAGGUUAACUCUGAGAAAAUGAAAAGUCGGAACAUCAUGAUGGACCCAGUUUGGCAUUGCUAUCGAAUGACUCGUUGGUAAACUGGGGUUCAAAUAUGUGAACAUUAUUUACUAUUAUUUAGCAUUGCAAUUAAUUAAAAUCUUCAUAAAGACAUGAAUGGAAUCAAGUUCUGGUUUUAGUCCAAAUGAUUCAUUUCUCGAAACUUGUUACCAAACCCAAUGUUAGGGGUGAUAAAAAGAAUUUUUGCACCCAGUGAGUUCCGAUUCACCCCAAUCCGAUACGAACUUUCUUUUUUUUUUUUUUAAAUCAAGUUUUAGGUUGGAGUGAGUUGUUUAUUAUUAUUAUUAUUAUUAUUAUUAUUAUUUGGGUUUAGAGUUUUAGGAAAAAAAUGUUCAGCCUGUCCGGACAUGUUUAUAAAGUAGUCCUUUUUAAUUUUAUUAUUAUUUUUAAUGAUUUUAGUUACAAUUGUAUAAGAAUUUAUCACAUAUAUUUUAUAUUUUGGUUGUAAUUUUGAAUUUUAUAAGAUUUAUAAUAUAUUAUUUGAUCUAAUUUUGUAAAAGAUAACAUGUUAUAUAGAAUAUUUAAAAUUUAGGGGUGGGAUUAGAAAAGCUAUUUUGGGAUGAAGAUGAAAAUUUUAAAUAAAAUCAAAUUAGAGAGGUUGGGGGUGGGGUGGGGUGAACAAAAAUUGAUCUUGUCUCGUUGUCAUCCCUACUCAAUGUCUAUCAAAGUAAAUCAAAUUCAAUCUCUACUUAAUUUAAAAAAAAAUAUUAGCAUAUAUUUAAGUGGUUUUUGUUAAUUUAGAAAUAAAAUAUUUUUAUUAUAAAAAUUACAAACAAAACAAAAAUAAAAAAUCGAAUUAGAGUACUUCAUAUAGAGUCGGUUUAUUUCUUUAGCUGAAAAAAAAAACUUUUUAUUGCAUAUUUCAAAGUUACUUUUGGCUAAUUUAGAAAUUAAAUAUUUAAUUUUCUAUUAUAAAAAUCUUUUGUAGCAUAUUUUUAAAUUAGUUUUAUUGAUUUACAAAUAUAAGAUUUAUUAUAAAAAAGUUACAAACAAAAUAAAAAUAAAAAUUGAUUUGUAUUAAGUCAAAUUCUAAUAGAAUUCAAAAGGAAUUAGAGAAUAUAAAAUUGGUUUAAAUUUUUUGUUGGUAUCUUAAUAACUAAGUUUUUUAAGUAAGAUUUAAAAUCGUUAUAGCCUUACUUCUUUAAAAGGAUACAAUCUCAUUGAAUUUUUAGACAUCUAUCUGUCUAAAACCUAAACAAAAAAUGAAAUGGAGAAGAGAGUGGAUGGCAAAUUACUCUGUGGGAGUCGAAGCCAAUGAGAAGGGCCAAGCAGUGGUAUCCUUAAACGAAUUCUCAUAAGUUCUUUUCUUUUCUUUUUGAUUGGCAAUUCAGUGUACUAUUGCUCAACCUGUUGCAACAAAAUUAGGAAUAAAUGUCCGACCUGUGCCACUCUAAUUGGCCAUCGAGAAAGUUCUGGAAUCUAUCAAAGUCCCGUGCCGAAACACAAAUUACGGGUACCGAGAAGCAUGAAGCUGAGACAUGAAAACCCAUGUUCAUGCCCAGUUGCUGAAUGCAACUUCGAGGGUUUAUCCAAGCAGUUAUGCAGACACUUCAGGAAUGAACAUGGAGUCUCUGCUACAACCACUUAAAUAACAUUAUUUUAGGAGUCCACAAAAAGUUCCUUAUCCUUCAAGAGGAGGACGGUUCUUUCUUCAUUCUGAACAACAAGGUUGUGACUCUAGGAAAUGUAGUCACUUUGAACCGGAUCCGACCCUCCAUGGACACAUGUUUCUUGUACGAACUAAUGUUCAAUUUAUUUUUAAAAAAAUGAUUUGUUUUACUUUUUUUAUUCUUUUUACAUUUUUUAUGUAUUUGAAAGGGUUUUGAGAGAAUCAAACAAUUGUGUGUAUAAAUAUAUAGUUUGACUGAUAGGUUUGGUUUUAUCUUUUCGCAACAAAAUAUAAAAAUUCUAUAUAAGAAUGAUAAUGGUUUGAUUCAAAUUGAUUUUGAGAAAAAAAUUCAAUGGGGUGUUCUAAUUUUUUAACUUGUGUUGAAUACCAAUUAAAUAUAUAAUUAUUUAAAAGUUUUAAUUAAAAUCAUUAAAUUAUUAUUUUUAUAUAUAACCUUUCUAGAAAUUUAGUUAUGAUGAAAUUUAACCUUAUAACAUAAUUGUUUUUAAAUAAUUUUAUUAUAAACUUUAAUUAUAUUUGUAAUGUUUAAAAUAACCUGUAACUCAUUCCCAAUCCAUAAAAAAAAUAAUACACUUCAAUGCAUAUUCUCCUGCAUUGGUAAUAAACCCAUACUAAUUGAGGUUUAUCGACUACAACAUAAUAAAUUUUAGAAGUUUAAUUUUAUCAUUUCAACCAAUAUAUCAUUUGAUUUCAUUAUAUUUGUCAUAUACAUUUUUUCACUCAUACUGUAAUCUAAGCUAGUGUGUAUAUAUAUAUAUUGGUUUUCUUCACAUCUAUUUUUGACAUCAAUUAAAUGCACUUGAAAGUAAGACCAAGGGCAGCAGAUCAAACAUCAACACUCCAUCUUAAAGGAUUGUAUCCCAAAGCAAUAUACAAAGCAUGUAAUUUGGAACAAUAAUUACAACCACCCCCCCCCCCCCCAAAAAAAAAAAAAACAAGAACAGAAAAGUUAGUUAUUCCAGUUAAACUCCCUGAGGUUGCAUCUCUGAUGGAUCAAUCAGACCCUCUAAUACAACAAGCUGAUCCAGCAGGGCAAGCUUCUCAUCUUCAAGUGCCUUCACUUCAUCUUCCACUUCUUUAAUUUCUUUACCCAUUGCAAAGCUUUCUUCCUCUAGCAGCAAAUACUUUCUCCUCAGUGCUCGGUAUUCGUUUCCCAAUGUCGAAGACUCCGGUAAUGAAUCCGAAUUCGAUCUCUCUGGUUGUUGAAAUAUUGGAGACAUUUCUUUCUUCGAGUUCCUUUUCGAUGCCUUUUGCCCUGUUUUUGAUGGUACAGAUUCUUUGAAAUCAUUCCGUUCUAUCGGAAGCAAUGCUGAUUUGUUUGUCGAGCUUUUCUUUUUUCGUGACUUUGGAUUCAAACCUUGCUCCGACGGUGGCAUCCUUGGAUGAUCCUGCAUUUCUCAAGGCUGGAAACACCACAAGAGAAAACUUCAAAGGUCUUCACUGAUAAAAGCAUAUAUAAGCUAGAAUCAUACAUGAUAUAAGAUUAUGUUGCUCCGACUUUUUUUUUUUUGAAAAAAAAAUCAGUGUUUGACACUUAUGUCAGGUGCAUAUUCAAAAACGGGAGUAGGGAUAUGUUCCUCCAAAUAUAUGAAAAAAAAAUAAAAAAUAUAAAUUUCAACAUACCAGUUUCAGUCAUAUAUCCAUAUUCGACAACCACGCCCGUAACUCAAGAAGUCCAAGUAACAUGCAUAUAGGCAACAACUGGUUAAUGUUUUAUCAGACCCUCUAAUAUAAAAGCUUAUUACAGAUCAUAAUGGUAUCAGUUUAUGGUGGUCCUAUGGUUAUCCUACUCAUCUCAAAAAUCCAUUUCAACUUCAACACUAGGUGAUUAGAAGCCAAAUUACAGAACAAAAAUGCUUUGUAUCAUGCCUAGUAUUACUUGGAAUGCAGAUCGAUCCAAUACAAGCAACAGGAAAUAGAAUGCAAAUCACUACUUGUCUGGAACGUAAUUCCAAAGGCAGUAUUGCACAAUUCACUUAGUACAAACGCAAUACGACUAAUUGGAACCUAAAACAUUUCAUGAAUCCUAUAUUAUCUGGGAGAUGAGAAGCCAAAAACUAGAACAUAAGGCUUCAUGAAUUGGAUCACAAACAAUCCACUUGGGAUGACACGAUCCAGUUCAGAAUUCGGGUAAAGGUGAUCGUACCGUAUGUCAUGUCUACCAGGAUAGGAUUGAAGUUUUAGUAUAUCAUCUUCCUCCUAACUGGCCCCAUGCAUUUAAGGCAUAAGAAGGAUUCAAAAAUGCUGGUGGAUGAUUCAAAUCAAUAUCGUUGUCCCCAACGAGACUUUGAACAGUUCAGAAACAAAUAAGUAUUAGAAUCAAAUAUUACAGAAACUAAUCGGAUCAGUGAUGGCCUAAUUCCAAUCGACUUUCACAUGAACUAGAAAACAUUGUCAGGGAACUAUUCCUUGAUUCAUUUAUAACACGUAAAAGAAAUCCCAGAAAUCUAUCACAAAUAGAGCUUUGCACCAACCCGAUUUCAAAACCCUCUCCAUUUCGAAGCAUCUUUUAAACAAAUAAACUCCCACUUAAUUUCGGAUUAGUUGAAACGUUAACAAAAAUUGUACUAGAAUUGGGUAAAAUCCUAAAUACUAAAGAAAAUUGUAAAAUACCCAUUAUUCAAAUAUGCAUCAAGAAGCCAUAAAUUGACAUGGGAAUUCAUCAAACAGAAAAUUACCUUAGGAAAUUUGCAGAGCAAGCUUGGGUUCAGAAGCUGGGAAUUAGAGGGAUUCGAUUAUUUAUCAAACGGAUUGGGAUUGGGAUUGGGAUUGGGAUUGGGGAAAGAGAGUACAUGUGUAUGUGUAUGUGUAUGUGUAUACAGUAUAUAUUUAUAUAUUUGAGUAGAAGAAAUUAAUUGAGUUCGUUGUCCGACUUUUGGAAACGACAAAGGGAAAAACGAAUAAUAAUUCAUUGAACUUUGAUUUUUUAUAUAGGAAUUAAUAUAUAUUUUGACCCUUACCAUUCAUUUUGAUAUCUAAAUUAGUCCUAACUUUAUCAUAUUACUAUAUGGAAAUUUAAUUAAUUCAUGGAAAUUAUAUAAUUUGAGGAAAAAUAAUAAAAGUCGUGGUAAACAGCGAAGAAUAAGCUCUAUCCAAGUAAUAAAAACUUCAUUCUCAACAUUAAUAGAACAUUAUAACACAUUAAAAAUUUACUUUUAGUCAUAAUUCAAGCACGACAUAUCUGAAGUGAUUGCAAAUACUUAAUAUGAUAAGAAAAUCAGCCUCAAAUGUUCUAAAAUGUCAGGUAAAAAUCGAUAAAAAAACCGAGCAUCCAUCAAACUAGAGAGUAUAACGACAAAACCAUCCCUGAAAUCACUUGCAAAAUCAAGACUACAUGCAUAAACAAUACUAAAAAAUGUACUACAAGAGAAAACAAAAGCUUUUAAAAGUAAAGACUUAUUAAACAAUAGAAAAUAAACAAAAAAUAUAAAACUUGAGACAACACAGGUCCAAAUUGACUUGUGAAAUAAUUUAUUAUUUUGAAAUACUAUCAAAACAUAAACAUAUUAAGAAGUCAACAAAAAGUCACCAAUUUUUCAAGAGAAAUCAUUGGUGGUUGGUGGAGUUUCAAUAACGAUAGGCACCUUUAUCUGUCUAUCACAACUUGUGAAGAUAACAAAGAAAACCAUAAAACAGGUCUGCACACUGAAAAGAGAGAAGGCACAUGGAAUGAAUGAGAAUAAGAAAGAAAGAGAAAGUUGGUGGGAGGGAGAAAAAGUCGGGCAGUAAUCAACUCGGAGGUUAGCAUUGCUGCUGAGAAAAACAAAAGAGAUGAAACAAACAACUUGGAGAAAAAAAAUUCAUGCAUUAAUGAUUUUCUGAAUAUUUUUUUAUUAUCUUUCCUUAUUUUCUUCAUGAUUACUUUUUUUUAAAAGAUUCUUGCUAAUCAUAGUCAUAUCCAUAAUUGUAUUUAUAUUCGUAUUUUUGACAUGUUCAGUAGUUCAUAUUGGAAGGUUUUGUCUCUCUACUCCAUUGAAAGUUCGAGUGUUUAAAAGGGCCGAAAGUUUAAAAAAGUGGGAGCUUUUUAUUGGGUGUAUGAAAAGGCAAAUUGCAUGUACACAUAUGAUCACUUAUAGGAAUGAAAAUGGAGCGAGGCGGGGCGAAUAUUACUAAAUCCACCACCACUCCAUAGCUGACAAGCUCUGCACUAUUAUCCGCCCUGCUCUACUAUGAAUGUAUAAUCUUGAAAACUACUAACACUGUAACACUCCUUGCCCGACCUGAUCAUCUGAUCCGAGCUAAAGGAUGCCACAUCUGUUGCCGGAGCAACUAUCGUCAAAUGCACAAUAAAUAAAUCAUUCAAACAUUCAAUCAUACCGUAAACACAAUCAUAUUAUGAUCCACAAUUAAAUCUAAGUCUUAAUUGAGCUUACAAAAGUCCUUUUGUUGACCCGAGCAUGAAAUAGGACCAAAUUGUUAAGUUUUGAAAAUUCAAGACUGACGUUGUGACUUCACUUCCUCCACGUCAUGACCUCAGGCCACUUGACAUCGUGACGUGACACACUGUCGGUCGGCAUUGCCGCAAAGAAAGUUGCUCAUUGAGACGUGUACUUUGUUUUUGGUAAAUUUUAGGUCAUUUGAUACCUAUUUCAAGCUUACACCCUAAUUCAUUCAUUUUAUGCAUAAUGCACAACUUUACAUGCACCAAACAUCCAAAACACAUGCUAAAACAAUCCAUUCAACCAUUCCAAACCAAUCAAUCCAAUAUACUUCAAUUUGGCAUGUAAACAUAUCAUCACAACUUAUUCAAUUCCAACCUAUUCAAUCAUGCAUUUAUCUAUCCAAAACCAUCAAAUUAAUCAUGUUAAUUCAUACCCCAAAUAUGCCAUACAUGUAACACCCUUCACCCGUAUCCAACGUCGGGAUAGGGUUCGAGGCGUUAACGGGCUUAAACAUUCACAACAACACAUAACAUAUUACCAACCAUGCAUGGCAAACAAGCAUAUGCACAUCACCAAUAUCAAACAUAACAUAAAUAGCUAGAUUUAUAAGUCAGAAUCAUUAGCUCACUAAAGACCAAUAUAUUUGGCCAAAUUAUAAUAACACAUGUUAUAAAACUAGGUCCCUAUACAUGCCACUCACUUGAUAAUUCUAGCAUAUGUGUUUAUACUGCCAAGGUGUUGGCUUGAUAGUGUGAUACUGCCUCCGACGAUCUCCAACCCUGAGCUAACCUGACAACACUAAAAGAAAUGGAAAGGAGGGGGUCAGCUUUACGCUUAGUAAGCUCGUAUGAAAUAAUAAUAAGCAAUUUACUAACAUGCUUUCCAUAGUAAAACUAAUCCAAUUGUACAUUUACACAUGUUCUGGUUAAGCUGCUUUCUUGAGUCACAGUCACUAAAUCAUUUAUAUCUGGAGUUACGAAACUGAAAAUUAAGAUACGUAAAUUUUUCCAGAAACUAGACUCAUAUAUAUUUUCACCAUAAAAUUUUUAGAAUUUUUGGUCCAGCCAAUAAGUACAGUUUAUUAUUAAAAUUCUCCCCUGUUUCACUGUUUGACAGCUUCGACCUUUCUUCGCUAAAAUUUAUUUAUCUCAUAGUACGAGACUCGGAUAAUGUUCCCAUUUGUUUCUAUUAAAAGUAGACUCAUCAAAGAUUCUAAGAAUAUAAAUUAUAAUCCAUAAUUAUUUUUUUAAAAUUUUUAAAAUUUUUUCUAAGUCAGAACAGGGGAUCUCGAAUUCAUUCUGACACUAACUCACAAAAAUUAUAAUAUCACAUAAUAUAAAAUCUUUUGUUCCCCCUGUUUUCUUUAUAUGAAAUUAUACUUAUUAAGAUUUAAUUCCAUAAUUCAUUUUAAAUUUAAUUCAACUUACACAAUUUUUGGUGAAUUUUCAAAGUCACACAACUGCUGCUGUCCAACACUGUUUUACUAUUAAAAUUUACUCUUACAUAAUUUCACUUAAUCCAUUUUGUCUUAUCGAAGUUCACUCAAAUAUCGAGCAUAUUGCUCAAAAUUUUCUUAAACAUAUACCUGCACUUAUUCAUCAUAUAAUCAUGUUCACAUGUAUUUUUACUUAAUCGAUUUUCCCGUUGAACUCUUCGAAAUAAUAACUGAUACUCAGUUGCCUGCAUAUAUUUUCACACUUGUAGCCAAAGCUAUCUGGUACGCAUAGUAGCCUGCACUUAGUACUACACAUGCGACCAAUUAUCCGGUACACGUAGUAGCCUGUACUUAGUACUACACACAUGACCUAGCCAUCUGAUACACGUAGUAGCCUGCACUUAGUACUACACACGUGAUCGAAGUUAUCGGGUACGCAUAGUAGCCUGCACUUAGUACUACACAUGCGACCAAUUAUCCGGUACACGUAGUAGCCUGCACUUAGUACUACACACGUGACCUCAUAAUAGAUCAUUCGUAUCGUUUCUAUUCCGAAGGCUCAACCGGGAAAUUCCUCACUUUCUAACAUGUUACAAUUUAUUCAUAGUCCUUUUUCAAUUUGCAAUUUACAACAAAUAAUCAUUCUAUAGGCAGCUACAUUUCAUAUGAUAAAAAAAUAUAAUAAAAUAAAAAUAAUCGAUAAAUUAUUUACGUACAAACUUACCUCGGAUCCAAAAUGGCAAUUUACCAUUCUAGUCCAUAACCUUGUAUUUUCCCGAUUUAAGCCCAAAUCUCGAUUUCCUUUAUCUAUAAUAUCACAUUUAGCCGACUAAUUAGUCAUACUAUUCAUAUGGGUCUAAAAAUCAUAUUUUUACAAAUUUGCAUUUUGACCCCUAAACUUUUGCAUAUUUGCACUUUUUCCCCAAGGUUCGGAAAUUAAACUUCUUCCUAUUUUCUUAUGUUUUAUGACAUGCUGAUCAUUUUUCCCUUCUAUGGAAACAUCAAAUUCUCACUCUAACAUGUACUUAUGAGCAUUAGGUAUUUUUACCGAUUAUACUAUUUUACUCGUUUUCACGUAAAAUCGCUUAGAAAAAGUUGUUUAACACAAUUUCAAGCUUCAUAUUCUACCAUUAAACAUCAAAAUACAUGCAUAUCAUUCAUGGGUAAAUUUUUAAACAUAAAUCCUAGUUCAAAAUAAUGGUAGAAAUGAGCAGAUCAUGUUAUCGGGAUUUCAAAAAUACAUAGAACAUUAAAAACAGAGCUCGGAAUCACUUACUAUUAAGCUUGGAAGCUUGGCCAAACCCUAACCAUGGCUGCUCUUGGUACAUUCUGCUGUAGCAAGAAGAAAGGGAUACAUUUGGAGUUUAAAAUUUGUCUUUUAAUUCAUUUUAUCCCUAAAUGACCAAAAUGCCAUUUUUACUAUUCUUUCAAAAUUUACCCAAUUAAGGCUAUUUUUGUCCAACAAGUUAUACAAUGGUUCAAUUAUCAUUUAAGGACCUCAAAUUUAAAAUUUCAUAACAAUUGAUACCUCUAAUGUGUAGAACUCAACUUUUGUACUUUUUACAAUUUAGUCCUUUUUACUAAAUUGAGUGCCCAAACGUCGAAAUUUUCGAACGAAAUUUUCACAAAAUCAUUUCGUGAAAUUGUAGACCAUAAAAAUAUAAUAAAAAUAAAAUUUUUCUCAACAUAUUUGUGGUCUCGAAACCACUAUUCCGAUUAAGCCCAAAAUCAGGAUGUUACAAUACAUAUAGCUUAACACAUCACCAAAACAUACACAUAUAUAUAUGAACAUUAGCCUUUCUAAAAUCAAACAUUAGUUAGGGUUCAAACUAUAGCUAUCAUUAUCAAGUUAACAUAUAUAAACACCUAUAUACAUGUCACAAAAUUGGACUUAAAACAAUUAAAAAACUAUCAAUUUGAAAAUGAGAUAGUGCGAGCUUUUUGCUGAUUCAUUAUACAUAUUUCGCAAGUUGGUAAUCUAUAGGUAAAAGGAAAAACAACGAGAUAAGUAUAUUGAAUGCUUAGUAAAUUCAUAGAUAUUUAAACAACAACUUACCUUAAUUUUCAAUUCAAACACAAUAAGCUACUAGCUUGACAUAGAUUAUCUAAACAUGGAAAAUCACAUCAAUAAUAAUGUGAGCUUAUCAUGAAUUCAAACCAUAUAGCAAUCUGAAUCAUAUAUCAAACGAAUUCAUGUCAUUUUGAAUAUCACAUUUUCAAUCUCAUUUAAUCAAUCAAUAGAUAUUGAAAUUAUAUAGAUAUUCAUGCCAUUAUUCCAAAUCAAUAUUCCAGUUCAAUUCAACAUUUUUAAAUUUAUACAUCAAACUCAUAUCAUACACAGGUAUCUUGAUACCCUAGUUACUUGUUUAAGCUAAAUAUAUAUACAUGUCAGGUUACCCUUUCAAGCCAAACCUUUUAAACAAUAUCAAAUUACCAUUCUAGGCUAAACCCGUGUCACAAAUAUCGUCAAUAUAACAAUUGCUCGUCCGAGCUAAACAUAGAUUCGUAUCAGGUUACCAGUCUAGGCUAAACCUUUAGAAUGACAUCAGGUUACCAGUCCAGACUAAACAUGUGUCUCGUGUAUCUCUAAAACACCAAAUGUUCAUCUAAGAUUACCAAUUUGGGCUAAACCUUUAAUGAAAUAUUCGAUUGCUUGGCCAAGCUAAAAACAUACAUAUAAGGUUACUUGUCUGGACUAAAACCUUUAAAACAACAUCAGUUUACUCGUCUAAGCUAAACCUGUGUCACAUGUAUCUCUAAGUCGACAACAAAUGCUGUGUAAUAGCCCGAAUUAGGGCCUAGUCAAAACGGUGGUCUCGGGACCACAAAUUCAAAGUCGGGAAAUUUAUUAUUAUUAUGAGGUUAAAGUAUGAUUAUAUUAGUGCAUGAAAAAUUUGGGGAGUUAAUUUUAAUGUUUGUGAGCCUGAUUGCGAAAAAGGACUAAAUCGCAUAAAAGGAAAAAGUUUCAUUUUUGUACCCAAAUGUGUCAAUUAGCUAGAGAACUAAAAUUGAGGGCUUUUAAAGCGAAAUUAGACCCUUUUUAGAGUACUUGGCCAGCCAUAGAGUAAAAGGGGGGAUAAAAUUUUUGUGUUUGGUGUGUUAGGUGACUUGUUUGGACAAAAAUAAAGAAAAAAAUGAUAUCAUCUUCUUCCCAUUUAUUUUUCCACCGAAAAUAGCAGCAAAAGAGGGAUUUUUGAAGCUUUGAAAUUUCAAAAAUUUAUCACCUCAACAAGUAAGUGAUUUCCAUGUCAUUUGUUGAUGAUUUUUACAUUUUUAAGACCCUUGAAGCAUGAGCUUUCAAAUGAUGGGUCCAUAUUACAAAAUGGUGGAAAGUUUAAGGUUUUUCCAUGAGAGAAUUUAGGGUGUUUUCUUAAAAUUUAUGGAAGAGUAUGAGUCCUAGCUAUGUUAUAAACAACUUUUGUGAAGGAGUUUUCAUGGAAAACACCUAAAGGGGCUAUUCUGCAUAAGUUGUAAAAUAGUUGAUGAAUAUGUGAAAUAGUGAGAAUUUGAAGUUGUUAUAAGAGUAAAAAGGGUUCGGCUAGGCUUGAGAUAUGAGGAAAUUCGAUAAAUCGAAUUUCGUGCAUAAGGGUAAAAUGAUCAAAUUGCCAAAGUCUAGGGGCAAAAUAGUUAUUUUACCAAAAAUAUGAAUUUAUGAUUGCCUAAUUGUAAUUAGUGAUUAAAUGAGUGCAUUUUUGCUAUUAUAGAUCAAGAUUUACUGAAUCCGAACCUAGAUCAGAGGAAAGCCAAGUAAAUAGACUAAAUCGACUAGUCGAGUACAUUUUGUUAUCCGAGGUAAGCUGUAUGUAACUAAUACAACUAUAUUGCUAAUGUAUGUAUUCGAAUUUUCAUUAAAUUGAUAUAGUAUAAAUUGCUAGAUUGUGGACUGAGAAUGUAUAUUAACAAUUGAGAUAAUAGAAAGAUCUAGUUGGGACCCUAAGAAACAAAUUGGAUAUUCAUGCCAUAACAUUCAGAUUACUUGUGUGCUAGUGUAAGACAUGUCUAGGACAUGCAUUGGCCACAUUAUGAAUGCCAGUAUAAGACCAUGUCUGGGACAUGGCAUCGGCGUAGAGAUGAGUACUAGUGUAAGACAUGUCUGGGACACGUAUCGGCCUCGACGAUGAUAGCCAGUGUAAGACGUGUCUGGGACAUGCAUCGGCUAAGAGUUGUACUAGUGUAAGACAUGUCCGGGACAUGCAUCAGCACGUACAUAUGAGAGCUAGUGUAAAACCAUGUCUGAGACAUGGCAUCGGCCUCGAUGAUGAUAGCCAGUGUAAGACCAUGUCUGGGACAUGGCAUCGGCAACUUAUCCCAUGUUUGAGGCUUAUAGAAUAUCCAGUAGUAUUCCAAAAGGUCCAACUUUAAAGGUUACAAAAAUGAUUUAAUGAGGAAAGUAUAAUAAUGUUGUGAGUGGUAUAGGUACCUAUUUGGUAUGCAUGAGUAAUGAGCUCAAAUUAGAAAAUGUGACUUGAGUAAACGGUAAUGAGUAAGUCAAGUUUAUGCUUACCUUUGAGCUAUGAGCAUGAUGACUAAUGGUGAAAUUGUUGUUGUAUAUCUAUUUAUAUGCAACUUACUAAGCUUUAUGCUUACUCUUUUUCCUUUCCCUUUUCUUUUAGUGCCGCUUAAUUAGCUUAAGGUUCCCUUGAGGUCGGAGUUAUCGAUCACACUAUCAAUCGAAGCACUUGGUAUAGUACAAAUCUUCUUUUGAGUAUGACAUGUAUAGGGCUAGACUAAGAUGUUUGACUUAAUGAGAAAUUGAUUAUGUAUUUUGGCUUAAGUCAAAAGCCCUUCAUUUUGUAUCAAGCCUAGAAUAAUGGCUAUUAUUCAUUUUGUAAAUGCAUAUAAUGUUCUUUCUAUGGAUGAAUUGGUGUCUAUUGUAGUGAAAUUAGUAUAUUGAAAUGAUCUUGUGUAGGUUGUGUAAGAUGGGUGACAAAAUGGCCUCCUUUGGUCCACACGGGUAAUGCACACGGGCAAGGCACACGGGCGUGUGCCUAGGCCGUAUGUCCCCUACACUUAAAAUUUUAAGUCAGUUUAGUACACAGGUAGGCCACACAGGCGUGUGUCUAGGCCGUGUGUAACACACGGCUCACCCCCAUGGGUGUGUGUUAUGGUUGUGUGUCCCCUACACUUAAAAUUUUAAGUCAGUUUAGUACACAGGUAGGCCACACGGGCGUGUGUCAUGGCCAUGUUUUAAAGUCAGUGUUGUACACGGGCGUGCCACACGGGCGUGUGUCAUGGCCGUGUUUUAAAGUCAGUGUUGCACACGGGCUAAGGGCACGGGUGUGUCCCAAGCCACGCAAGCGUGUGUGACCACACGGUCUAUAUCCACACGGGCGUGUGGAGUUUUAAAGCAUGAAUUUUCCAAGUGUUUUUAAGUUCUCGGUUUAGUCCCGAACUGUCUCUAAUGUAUGUUUUAGGCCUUGUGACCCUGUUUAAGGGACAUAAUGCAUGUGAACGAGAAAUUCUAAGUUAAAAGAAAUUUUAUGACUCGGUUUUAUAUGCGUAUGCUUGAGUUAAGUCCGGUAGCACUUCGAACCCUGUCCCGGUGUCAAAUACAGGCGAGGGGUGUUACAUGCUGGAUCUCUAUAAUCAGUGAUAAUCAAUCUGUAUCAGUGUGAAAAAUAUAUUUACUAAGUGCAUCAUAAAUUUUCAACACAUAUAAAUACAUAUCUUUACAAUUUAGUCCAGUUCUCUCUUAUUGUACCAAAUCGCAACAAUCCAAAAUUUAGCCAAACAAACACUUAUUCAUAAUUCAUAAACAUAACAAUUUAAAUACAAUCACACCAUAUGAAUUUACCUGGUCAAAUGAAAAAACAAGCUGAAUUUGUAAGGACUAAUUGAAAAUUCUGUCUUUUCCUUUAUUAUCUUCGGUUUGAUUCAAUUCUCGAUCUAAACAAUAAUUCAGAUCAAUUUAUUAAUUCUAAACAAUUUAUAAUAUCCUAUUAUAUGGAUGAAUCGGUUCAAUUUAGUUUUUUUGCAUUUUAUUCAAUUCAGUCCCUAAAACCGAAAUUGCAAUAACUUUCAAAUUUGAGUUUCAAUUUCAAAACCAAUCUCAAUUACAUCCUUUUAGGGCCCUCUACUAUCAAUAAUUACAAAAAGAAUUCACAUGAAAUUUGAAAUCUAUUCACUUUAGUCUUUAUGUUAAAAAACUUAACAAUUAAACUUUACAAUCUAGUCAUUUUUCAUAUCUAAGCUUAAAAUCUAUUAGUUUAACACCAAUUUCUUUAAAAAAAAUCAUCAACGGAAACUUUUAGAAACUUUAACAGUUUCACAAAUUACUACAUAGACUAGCUAAAUCAAACUUUCACAAUUUCAAAAAUAUAAAACAUAUAAGAAAAAGACUAAAAUAAACUCAACUAAUUAUUUUCGAAAGUUUGAAGCUUCCAAACCUUAUUUUAUACCUUUUCUUGCUUCGUGAAGAUGAAAAAAAAAUUUCUUUCUUUUUUUUUUUUUUUUGGUAAAAAGAAGACAUUCCUAUUAACUAGGAAGAAACAACGGACGAGCUUCCUUCAUAUGAGUGAACAUUACUAUCCUCUUCAAGUAGUUGAAUUACGAAAUUUGGACAUUAAUACGAGCUUUCUUUCUUUUCUUUUGAAUUUUGUCUUUUAUACUUAAUUAUUUUCUAAUUAAUCAUAAUUAGUUAAUUGGACAUUAAUUAAUUAAACAAACAUAAUUAGCAAAGUUGGUGGAUUAUAUUUCCAUCCACCAUCGAUUUACUAUAUAAUAAUUGUCUAAUUGCUCAAUUGGUCCUUCGUCAAUUUAGAAAUCUAUAGCGAUAAACUUUUACAAUUUUUACAAUUUAGUUCUUAUACUUUAAUUAACUAUCAAUUUGACAAAAUUAAGAGACCAAACUUUAAUACUAAUCUUGUAAAUAUUAAAUAAUAAUAUUUAUGAAUGCCAACAUCAAAAAUGGGGUUUCAAAACUACCACUUUUGACAUUAUUAGAAAACGGGUUGUUAUAACCACCUCUAUGAAUGUUGGAUGCAUCUAUCCUCGCCUUAUGCCACUUUGCUUCAAUUUAACUUUUGCUACUUAUCUUUAAUAUUUUCAUUAUUUUUAAAUUCAAGUAAAUAUUUAAACAUAAUUCUGUAAAAAAAUUAAAAAUAAAAUAUAUGGAUUUUUUUCUAUAUUACGUUAUUGCAUUUUUACCUUUUUAAUAGUUUAUAUAUACAACGAUAAAAUAAUAAUUUCAUAUAGUGGUGCGAGUCGAGGUGGGCAAGCAAUUGUUGUAACUGUUCCAUACCCACUAUCCCAAAAGAAGAAAUCCACCAUUGCCUUGCCUCACAUCCACUUUUUUUUUAAAAAAAAUCGUUUAUUCCGAAGUAGAUUGAUUUAGAAUCCAUUGGAUGAUUUGGUUUUUGCAAUCUAUAAUCACCUAUCAAGGAAUUCUCAACAUUUACACCUUAUGAACGACUAAAUACCACUUAAGGUGAACGAGCUCAACAAAGUGGGAACACCUUCAUACAUUACACAAUCACCCAUUUUUCAGUUGCUACUUGAACUUGUACUAAUUAUUUCUUGGGUUUAAUUCACAACUUGACCUUUGAAUUAUAUCUUUUUUCUACUUUGAUACUUAUUUUUUUUUUGUUUCUUUUUGGUACUUAAACUAUCAUUUUGGUCCAUCUUUGAUACUCGAAAAUUGCUAGUAUCCAAUAAGAAUGUGGCAUGUAUUACAUUCUAAUUGGCAACUUUUAAAGUAAACUGAGACGAAAUUAAAAUUUAAGUAUUAAAGUGAGAAAAAAAUGUUUAGAUUAAAUUGUGAAUUAAGUCUAUUUUUAAUAUUAUAACAAACUAUUUUAAAAUUAAGGUUUUUUAUUUUAUCAGUCCAUUCGAUUUAAAGAAAAUAAAUUAUUAAAAAUUUAAAAUGUAAAAACAAAAUAAAUCAUAAAAAUUAGUUAAACAUGUUUGUACUAAUUUUAUAAAUUAACUAUUUUUUUUAUCUCUCACCAAAUUAAUACUUAAUUUUAGUUAUAUUAUUACGUACAAGGAGAGAGGAAUUUUCAGAGCGUUCUGUUUUUGAAUUUUGAACAUAACCAAACCACGUCGUUUUCGGGUUUCGGCUCUAGAGGCACACACACCUUCACGUUUUUUUUUUUGAACAUGCACACCUUCACGUUUUAGCUCUCUUUUAAGCUAGUCUUGCGAUCAAAUUAAUAGCCUCUUCAUCCAUUUAUGUAUGGUAAUUUCACACUCAUGUUUAUGCAUUUUGUUAUAUUUUAAUUAUAUAUUACCAUUUUAUAUUUUUUUAUAAUUUUUUAAAUAACUUUAUUAUAGGUUCUGCCCUCCCAAUUCAUAAAUAGGAGAAUAAUGCAUUUUAGCGUAUUCGAACUCAUGUCCUCUUGUGUUGACAAUAAUGCUUAAUUGAGUUAAGACUCAAUCAACAUAUUUUUAUAAAUUUUGAUAUUAAUGAUUUGUAUUAAAAAUAUUUUAAACAAAGACACAUUAUGCUAUUGAGGGGAUAAUAAAGUUCGAAUCUUAAAGAUAAUAUUAUUAGAAGAAACAAUCAUAAAUUUUUAAUAUGAACUGUAAAUGAAUAUGAAAACUACUCAAAACUUUUAAAAAUUAAUGUAUUCAAUAUUGUAUUCUUAUAAGUUUUAGGUAAAAGGUAAAAGGUUUUGGUUGGUCAAAAGUAACAAUUUAUAUGCAAGGAGGUGAUGCAUUUAUAUCAUACUUUGAUUGGGUAGGUAAUAUCAAAUAUAGGUAGAUAUUUGAUACUAGUAUUUUAAUUUUUUAUGAGCCUUUUUUUAUAUAUAUAUUUUGUUAAAAGUAGGGUAUUUAUUAUUAGAAUUAGUAAUUAAUUUCUUCGUUACAAGUUUUUUUGUAAGAGAUAAACAAUUGAUUCUAAAAUAUGUUUCAUUCGCAUUAGUAGAGAUUAAACUGUGACCUCAUAAUUAAAAAAUGAGGUGAACAACCACUAUUCCGCACAUCAUGAUUAAUUUUUUUUAAUAUUUGAAAUCAUAUUCUUAAACUCAUAUGUAUUCUAUCCAAAUGUCUUAACAUAAAUACUUGAAUAAAAAAGGGAUAUAAGGUAUGAGCUGUAACAAUACAGUUGGUAAUAUCUUUGCUGGAAUUUUUAAUGGCUGACUAAGAUUUGAGAGUAUAAUUUCAAAAUUAAAUGUAAAUAUUUAUUGUAUUAAAAAAUAUUUAUUUAUAUUAUUUAUUAAAGUUUAAUGCAUAACGUGAUUAAGGGUUUGGAUCAGAAUUAGAAAGUAAUGAUUUACAAUCAGAGAUCCAGUCAAGAUUUCUUUCCUUUUUCUUUAUUUAAUUUUAUUAAUGUGACUAAUAAAACAGUUGAAAGCACACCCUACCUAAAGUUUUAUUCGAUGUCCCAACCGACAAAACACAAAAAUUUAUUGUUUUUUUUUUUUU
rnacentral:lncRNA from 1 species